rnacentral:lncRNA from 1 species
UAGAAUAAUCUCAUUUUUGCUUCUAUAGCCUAGUGGAGUUGUUGAAGCAUAAAAAAAAAAAAGAAGAGAGAGGAAUAAAAGAGGAAAAAGAAAAAAAGGGGAGAGAAAGAAAUAAAAAAUAGAGAUGGUUUAUGAGAUUAUCCAUGCACCAGGUGCAUGGAUAAAAUUUAAAUUUUGAAAAUAUCUCAUGCACCGUGAGCAUAAAUUACGAAAAGUGGGACGUUCUUGUAGAUACGAACGGGUAUUAAAAAUAGCAUAUUAGACCUUUCCCUUUCACGUAUUUACAAAAUGCUCCGCUUUAAUCAUAUAAUAUUUUAUUAUAUUGACUAAGGUGUAAUAUGAGCAAAGGGAAAGGACCAAUUCGCAAUAUUCCCACAAUCCCAUCGCAACCAUCCAUUAUCUCAUAAUCCCAUCAUAACCAUCCAAAAUCUCUCCCACAAUCNUAUGAUUUCUUUUGAAGCUGAGCUUUAGGUCUCUUAAUCUUGAAAAAUGUAUUGCUUUUUAACCGGGUUUGGUGUUGUGUAUGCCUUUAUUAGGAUAGUUGAUCAUCAAGGAAUUUCAGAUGAAAUUGUUAAAUUCUAUGUAGUCUCAGAAUUUAGUUAGGAACUGCAUGCGUUUAUAUCGCAAAAUUAGUCACAUAAUGUUGACUAGAGGCUCUAGAGAUAUUCUUAAAAUUUGACUUUCAAGCUCGAAAACUUGGAAAAGCAUGUGAUGCGUGGAUGGGCAGAGUUUAUGUCACAAGGGGAACUACUUUUGGAGCACUUCAAAAAAAAAAAAAAAGAAGAAAAAACAACUGCAUAAAUAACAAGGUAAAUGGAACUCAUAUUUGGCAGUCCAUUUUCAGCCUAAGAAUACGCAAUAGUUGGCUAGAUUAGAAGUAAAUUUUUUGAAAUGCCAAUGGCAUGCAUUUCUAUGUUUUUUUUUUUGAGAGGAAGGUUGCAUGCUAUCGCUUCAUUCAUUAAGAGCGUGAAUUUAGCAAAGUGUGGGAAGCAACAAGGCUUCCACUAAAAAAAAAAAAAAAAAAAAAAAAAAAAAAAGAAAAGCACCCACCAACAUUCCCCCAAAGAAGUCCUGAGCUCCACCGAGCUCCGCCACAUCCUCUCCCGUCAACGGCAGCCGCGCCCCGAGCUCUACUGAGCUCCUCCAUGUCUCCGCCCGCCUCGUCUUUGUGCGACAUCGACGGCACCCCCACAUGUAGGCGCGACCCACCGAGCGCCCCCGAACUCCGCUUCGUUCUCCCUCAUCGUCGGCGGCCGCGAUGCUCGACUACCGAGCGCCCCCGAGCCUCCAUCAAGCCCCUCUUCGGCAAUCUCUGCGUCGCCAAAGCCGUCGCUCCAUCACCCGAGGCGUCAAGGCCGCCUACGCCGAUGACGCCCGCUCCAAAGCCGCCCGUGUCGCCCCAAGACGACCUCGACCCACGACGUCAAGUUCGUCGGCCCCUGCGCCCGAGGCCAUCGCUCUGAGACCGCCCGCGCCGAAGCCGCCCGCCUUGAGGCUGUCAACCCCGAGGCCACCAUGAUCCUCGCCGAGUUCGGUUGUGCACCACCGCUUCCUCUUCGCAGCCUGUUCCGAGAUCAUGACGCCAUCAUCUCUGGCCACAAAGAGACUCUGAGGCAAAACCACCACGUGUUCAACGAAAUGCCCGAAUGAAGCGGCGACCCCAUGAAGCCGUCGUGGUCCUCGCCGGACGCAGCCGCGUCUUCUGCUCCGGUGCCGACCUCACCGCCACCGAGAAUAUCUUUAAGAGCGACGCCAAAUACCCUGCCAUAGACCCCGCCGUGUCGUGCCCGCCUCCACCGAGCUCGCCGCCCUCAGUCACUCGAAGCCGCUCCGGCCUUAGCCGCUCGAAGGCCCGCUGCCGUCCUCGACUCGAAGCCGUGCCACCCGCGGCCGAUCUGCCUGAAGCCGCGCCACCCGCGGCCGAUAUUUUCGAAGCCGCGCCACCCGCGGUCGAUCCGCCCGAAGCCGCGCCACCCGCGGCCAAUUCGCCGAUGCCUAUGCCGAGCCGCCGCCCAUGACUCUGCUCGUGAUCUCGGCCGAUCCGUCGACACCCGCGCGCCGUCGUCGACUUUGAUGGCUCGAACCCGAGGAGUUCCCUCUGAUGCCGCGUCACUCCACCUCGAAGGCCGCAGCCCCGUCGAUGCCACGUCGCUGUUGUGGCCUUUCACCGCUGCAGAGCGUCGCCGUCACGGCCCUCCUUCGUCGCGGUCUCAGAUCCGUGGCUCCACUGUCAGGUCACAGCCCCAGUGGAGCUCCGUCAUCAACAAAGCCGCCAGCUGCUCGACGGCGAUCCUGAGAGAGAGAGCGGUGCUCUCCUCUCAAACGGAUUCCGCACGCCAAGUGCCUGAUGUGCCCGGAGUCCGCCCACCAACCGCUCGACGGCGAACCUGAGAGAGAGAGCGGUGCUCUCCUCUCAAAUGGGUUCCGCCCGCCAAGUGCUCGAUGUGCCCGGAGUCUGCCCACCAACCGCUCCGACGACGAUCCUGAGAGAGAGAGCGGUGCUCUCCUCUCAAACGGAUUCCGCCCGCCAAGUGCUUGAUGGGUUCCGCCCGCCAAGUGCUCGAUGUGCCCGGAGUCCGCCCACCAACCGCUCCGACGACAAAUCCGAGAGAGAGCGCGGUGCUCUCCUCUCAAACAAAGUUCGCCCGCUAAUUGCUCGGUGGCGAAUCAUAAAGAGAGCGAUGCUCUCAUUUACCGACCAAUCAUUCGACGAAAUUCCUGAAUAAAAUCAGAGAACCCCCCAUCUGUUUGACGAAAUUCCUGAAUGCAACAACGAGGCUAAAGAAGUUGAGUUAUGAGCACCGUGACUUCACGCUCGUCGCCCAGAAGGUCUAUGUCAGCAUCUACAAAGUCGCACACGACUUCUCACCUUCUGAGUAUCGCCGCGGAGAUCAUCCCCGUCAACCAGUAGCCAUCGAGCGNAUUGGACUUUAUCAUAUAUAUUUAAAGUUCAAUUAACUAAAUCAAACUCUAAUUCAUUUAAUUAGAGUUUAAUUUGAAUCGAACCUGGUUAAAUCCCAAUGUAUAUACAUGGAAUUUAACCAACCUUUCACCUUAGGGUGAACAAUAUUGUUAAGCACUGAAACAUAUGAAGCCCAAUUAAAUCAAUUUGAUUAUAUACUUUGAUAUCUUGGUUCAGAAUCAAAUUCAAUCAACCGUCGUACUGAAUUAUGUUAUAAAAUUCAUCUUUUAUUCAAUCACAGCAUUACAAAGGUCUCUUAAUCGAAGGUGCCCUAACACUUUGUAGGGGUAAUUAACAAUAAAUGCUUGCGUUUAUUGGAAGCCAUGAAUCCACAAAACCUGAUUUUCAUACAUAUUCAAAUAUUAAUCUGAAUCAUGAAUACUACCCCACGGUGAAAAAUCAAAAUAAGAUCAACCGUGCGAGGUACGUCAUUCGUGGUGGCAGACAGGAGUAUUUCGCUGAGGUCAGCGGUUGCCUACUGGGAACUAUUGUUAAUAGUUCUCACGCCCCUAUUUUGUGGUUUUUAUUUUAGAGCCAUCCGCACCGGAAGAGGCUAGGGAUCGCGGCAAAGGGGUCACGUCUAGCUAGAUCGCGAGGAUCUUUACUGUUAGGUGGUUAUCUCUCCUUUUGUAUAGUUGGAGAGAGAACCAGUUCUGUACCCGUGUAUAAAGGCCAUCAUUUUUGUAUAUCUCGCACUUGUACUUGAGAUGUUAUGAUGUACCUAUCUGUGGAUCGUUUUAGUUGUUUAGUUCUUUUACUAUUCUUCUUGUCAUUAGAUUCUAGAUGUUGUAUACUCUGAUAUCUCUAGAUACUCGUUAUACUUGUUUUAUUUAUCGCUUUGUUCUAGACGCCUUAUAUGUUGUUGGCAUAUGGCGGGUUUGGACACGCACCGGGCAGGCCUCCGUUGGGUCCCGGGGCAUGACAGCGACGAAGAUGAUGACGGUGGCAUAGAUCUUAACGGCCGGCGGAUUUGAUUCGAUAUUUUCGAAAGAUGUUGAAAGGUCCGAAGAAACGGGGAAUCAAAGAUUCCCCUUCCCUCUUUUUUCGAAAAUAUCAAACCGGCGAUGCUAGAGAUGACGUCGAUGAAGAUGAUGACGGUGGCGCGGAUCUGUUCGGCCGUCGGAUUUGAUUUGACAUUUUUGAAAGAUGUUGAAUGGUCCGAAAAAACUGGGAAUCAAAGAUUCCCCUCCCCUCUUCUUUCGAAAAUAUUGAACCGGCGAUGCUCGAGGUGGUCACGGCAAUAUAGAUCACCCAUUCCAUCAAUUAACGGCUUCGAAUGGGGUAUUGAGAGGUCCGAAGAAACGGGGAGCCAUUGGCUCCCCUCCACACUCCCAUCGAAACCGUCUAGAUGGUAUGGAUGGCUACGGUAGCAAGACCUAAAAAAAAAAGAAAAGGGGAGAAGAAAAGAGAUUUUUUUUUAAUUUUUUUUGGCAUGUUUUAUUAUAUUUUUUUCUCUUUUCUUCUUUCUUUUUUUUUCUUUACCUGUUGAUCAGAUAGCGGAUUGGAUGAGGCGGCUCGGCGAUCUCUCCUCCUUUCCGUGGCUCGGCGAUUUCUCAUCUUUUUAUCAUAAUCUCUCUCUCUAUUGCUAUCGUCUCUCCCUAUGUAUUUGUUCUCUCCUCUUUCUUUUUUUUAUCGUCGUCCGCAUUGAUUUUUAUUCUCAUAUUUAUAAUAAAAGGGGCGGCGAGAGAUAUUUUGAGGAGUCGGUUAGGGAUUCAAAUUUUGAAUCGGUUGUUGGAUGGUUGGAAAAUAUUUUGGGGGUUGGUUGGGAAUUCGAAAUUCGAAAUCGAAUUUUGAAUCGGUUGUUGGAUGGAUAGGUAUUCAAAAUUUGAAUGAAUGUGGUUGGUUGGGAGAUUUUUGGGAGUUGGCUGGGAAUUCGAAAUUCGAAAUCGAAUUUUGAAUCAGUUGUGAUUUGUUAGAAGUUGUUUUGGGAGUUGGUUGGGAAUUCAAAAUCUAAAAUCGAAUUUUGAAUCGGUUGUGAUUUGAAAUAGAAUUUCGAAUGGGGUUAUUAGGAUUAUAGAUAUUUUCUAGAGUAUGGAUAUGGACCGUCAUUGAUCGAGCCCAUUUUAAUGAAAUUUGUUGGGCACAAAUAAUAAUAAUCAAUGGGCUGAAAUGAGACCCGAAUUAUUGUAUAGGCCUAAAAUUUUAAAGGGCUUUAAUGAGGCCCACCAACUCGCAUCCAUGAAUGGGCCUAUUGUGAAUUAUAAUUAUUGGCUCCAAUAUUUUUUUUUUUUCACUUCAAACACUAAGCUAUUACAAGCAUUCACACCACAUGCUUUUUACAUAUUACAUUUUCGUUUUCUUUUCUUCUAAAUACAAUCAAGAUUAUUACAAUAUUGUUUUCCUUUUUUCCUACACCCCUAGCUAGGCUGACUCGGGGUAUUGCUAUCUCUAGUCUCAGUAGUAGGGCGCUAUCUACGGAGGUACGCCCUUUCCACGUGCUGCCGCGCCGCUCGCGUGUGAAUCUGUAAUCUCCAAAACAACGUGGGGUGAGAACUAUUGUCUAUAGUUCCCAGUGGGUACGGCCACCCAAGGGAAGAGCACAACCCACCAGGUCCCAAGGAGGCACUGCAACAUGUUAGUUCAACAGAUAUCCAACAGAUAUAUAUGCAAGUAUUAAAAUACAUAUUAUGCCUCUCAACACGCAACAAUACAAAUCGUGCAACUAUGCAACUCAACAUGCAAUAAGCUAAGUAGAUCGACCGAUUCUACUUUCAAUCCUGCUAUUCAUAGUUCAUCCAAUUGACUUUUAAGUUUUCCUCUAUCUUAAAUUCAUGUCAAUUAUAACUCUGCUCAUAAGGUUUCAUCUACCUUUGAUCCAUAUAAUUUGCUCUUUGCUUUUAAGGUUUCUUCUACCUUAACCAAGCUAGCCACCCGACUCGGCCUCGAGUCAAUCAUCUGCGGAAUACCGCAUAAAACCAGGCUCAAGGUGAAGGACGUCUCACAUGCACCUCAGUCUUAAAUCCACUAAACUGGGAUGCCAACUGGGAUGCAAAUCCACUCUACUGGGAUUCAUCCACGGCUCAUAAUGUAUGUCACUCAAUCUCACUCGCUAACCGUAAGGUUAUGCCCAACUCACAUUUCAAAUCUCAGAGGUGAGGAGACUCUGCGCUACACACACCCGAGAUCGCCUACUGGGUAAUCAAGUUACUCAAACACGACUACUACAGCGGAGCUCACUACUUGGGUGGAGCGACCACGCCAAGGUCAAACAGACUAUAUGAGUAUGAUCCAAUCCUCUCACUCGAGGAUACCCUGUCUAGUAGGGUUAACAACAACACGGAAAAUCCACUAACCCCAAUACUCAUGCCAUAAGUGUCUCUACUACACAAGGUUCACGUGGCACAUAUCCACAACUCGGGAAAUCAUCUAUCCCUAUGUUCAUGUCACAGUGUCUCUACUACACUAGUCCAAAUGCCACUCGAUCUACUUGACAUUCUACUCGUCCACAUCGAGUAUUAUAGUUUUCAUGUUCUUGUUUUCCAAUGUUGAGCUCUCUAAUCAACCUAGAGUUAUCGACUCAAGUUCACAUUUACAUGAAUCUGGCACAUGCUGCAACAUAUCAUCAUGCAUAUUCAUCUAACAUAAUCCACAAUAUAUCAACAUGCAUAUUCCAUCUCAUGCAUGCAUAUAGCCUCUAUGUCAUGCAUUCAUAUAGCAUCUCAUAGUAGGUAACAACAUCAAGCAUAAUACGAUUCCUACAUUCACAUUAUCACGUACAACCUACCAAAUAUACAUACAUGCAUCAAUAGUAACCAUGCAUCAUCAUUAUCAUCUAUGGUAGUUCAAUCAUAACAUUCAUUUCAUGCAACCACAUGUUUUGCAACUAACUACGAUUAUAUGCAUCAAUGAUAAACAACACUCCACUUCGACAUGAAAGUGAGCUAAUAUCUUCGAUGAGCACAACCCACCUCGCAACGCUUUCCGAUUGCUUGUCGACACUUGCAAUUGGGCUCCCGCGGCACACGAUACCCGGUUCGGCUCGAAUUCGCAAUCGGCAACCAAACGCCAGCUAAUCCGCGACCUAGGGUCAUCAAUGGCUCUUCUCUAACCUUCAAUUAGAGAACAAUAGGAUUUAAUUAGAUCAAAACCCUCAUUUACUCCAAAACCCCAAAAUCCUCAUUCUAACCCUAGCAUAUGUAUAGUCCCCAAAUAACCCAAAUUAAAUGGAGAAAAUAUGUUAGAGACACUCUAGAGGCUACUAAAACACUAAGUAUAAAGGAUUUAGCCAAAUCCUAAACACUUACCGAAUUGCGAACGCCGAGUCGAAAGCACGCCGCUCAACCGGGCACACGAAGACCCGAUCCGACGCUCCACACGCGUUUCCAAGCCCACUCUCCGCCAAGCCUCCGAAUUUGGGAGAGUAAGAUAAAGAGAGUAUGGAGAUAUCUAGAGAGAGAAAGGGAAGGUUUCUCUCUCCCUCUCCAUACGCGCGUGUGUGUGUGUGUUGGCUAGGAAGAAGAAGAAAGGGGAGAAGAAACCCCUUUUAUAGUCAACCUCCAUCCCAACAUUAACACAAUUUCAGUUUAGUAGCUCAGAAUCUGUUACUUUUCGCCGGAGCCCUUCUGAAUGUCCGUUUUCUCUCAAAUUUGACAGUCAAGCUCAGUUUAAGUUAAUAAGAAGAACGAUAUCUUAAUUUCUCAGUUUCGACCAUUUUUUGGCCACCGAAACCCCUACCGACUAAAAUCUCUGACAGAUAGAAGUCAGAUUUUAUUUUCCACUUUUCGGGUGUCGGAAUGACAUGAAACUUUAAAUCUAGCAUCAUAAAAAUAAUCCCGACAUAUUUUCAGAUUUUUAUAAUUUUCUAACACUGUGAAUUUUCUGCUAAAAUAUCAGUCCCGUUCUUUACUGAAAAUUUUAAAUUUUCUGUUUCCAUUCAAAUUUCAGCACAAGUCAUUCUGACUUACAUUUUACUUCUUUAAGUCCAAUAAAAAUAGUAUCUUACACUAUUUUUAUUUACACUUACUUUUAUAUUAAGAAUCCGGUACAUUACACUGCACCUGUGGACGUUUAGUGUCACACCCCAAAAAUCCCACAUCGGAUGGGAAUGGGGUUGUCAUUGGGUUUAUAAGAGACUUAGACACUAGUAAUAAUAACUGGGCUUAAGCAUUUUGGGUCGGUGUUUGGGCCCAACGAGUUAUUGUUGCUAGUGGGCUGAGUCGUAACAUUUGAUAUCAGAGCCAAUUACCAGCCGGAAAUAUGUGGCUAGUCUCGGUUGAGCCAGGGUCUGAAAGACAAGAUGAUAGGCUAUGCUAGAAUCUGUAUGACAAUGUGACCGGAUAUACCAGGGUCUGGAUGACAAGACUAGCGAGAUGCAUCUCACGGCUAUACCAGGGUGUGGAUGACAAGACUAGCGAGAUGUAUCUCACAUCGCCUGGUGAUCUUAGGCUGUGUAUGUGAUUUAAUCCCACAUCGGAUAGAAAUGUAGAUGUGAUUGGGUAUAUUAGAGACUUAGACACUACUAAUAAUAACUGGGCUUAAGUAAUUUGGGCCAGUGUUUGGGCCCAACGAGUUAUUGUUGCUAGUGGGCUGGGCCCUAACAUUCAAGUUGUUCAAAAGCCUUCCUUGUCCUACCUCUCAUAGCUUGAAGUUUCAAAUCUCAAAUUUUAAAUUUUAAAAUUCAAAAUUUUAAAUUUUAAUAUUUUAAGAUAAAAUUUAAAUUUUGACAUUUUAGAUUUUAAAACUUACAUUUAAAAAUUUAAAAAUUUAAAAUUUAGAAUUACAAGUUUUAAGUUUCAAAUUACAAAAUUAAAAUUUAAAAUUUAAAAUUUAAUUUUACUUUUAAAUUACAAACUUCAAAAAAAAUUCAAAAUUUAAAUUUUUAAUUUUCCAAUCUGAAUUUAAAAUUUGAGUUUCAAAUUUAAAUUCUAAAUUUAAAAUUUAAAAUUUAAAAUUCAAGAUUGAAAUUUGAAAUUCAAAAUUUAAAAUUUAAAACUUAAUUUAAAACUCAAAUUUUAAAUUUUAAAUUUUAAAUUUUAAAUUUUGAAUGUUCAAAUCUUAAAUUUUAAAUUUUAAAUUUUAAAUUUUAAAUUUUACAUUUUAAAUUGAAAAUUGAAAAUUGAAAAUUUAAGAUUUGAAAAUUCAAAAUUCAAAAUUUAAAAUUUAAAAUUUAAAAUUUGAGUUUUAAAUUAAAAUUUAAAUUUUAGAUUUUGAAUUUCAAAUUUCAAAUCUUAAAUUUCAUAAGAUUUAAAAUUUGAAAUUCAAAUUUUAAAUUGAUAUUGAAAAAUUAAAAAAUUUAAAUUUAAAUUUAAAAAUUAAAAUUUAAAUAUAAAUUCAAAUUUUAAAUUAUUUUAAUAUAAAAUUUAGUAAAAAUAUUAAUAUAGGUAAAUAUCAAAAAAAAAAAUUUUACCAAACAGCAUUAAUAAAUUAUUUCAAAAAAAUUACUUUUAUCUAAAUUCAUCUAAAUUCAGUAAAAUAUUCUACAGCUUUUUAUCGAAAUUAAAAUCAUUAAUUCUUCCAUAUCAAAAUCACUACUACAUAAGUCAGUUUUUCAAAGUUAGGCAAAUAGGCCCUAAGGUUGCUGGACCACAGCGCUGCUGCACAAGACGCGUGCCGCUUUUUCUAGAGUAUUCGCGCACUUCGCCAAUUCUUCUUUCCCAGGGGAAACAGAGAGAAAAAAAAAUCUAUAACCGCCUCUUUUUUUUUUUUUUUUUGCCCUCCAGGUCGGCUGCGCGUGCUGUUUCGGGUCAAUUCGAUCUAGUUAUCGCCGAUUUUAUAGUUUUCUCUUGUGUACGAUGAUUUAUCAAUCAAUUUAUUUAUAAAUGAAAUUUGAGGUGUCGAACUUUUAACGGGGCUUAGGCGGGUAGCGUGCAUCAUAAUCAACAAUUUGCUUCGUACUGGGGUUCAUAUUUACUAUUGACCUUUGGAAGACGUAAGAAUUUGUUUGAUUUUGUUUUAAUUGUUGCCGAUCUACCUUUGGAUUCUCUUUGGCUUCUGAAUUAAGAUUAGGUUUUCUUCCAGAAAACAUAAAUAGCAUAAUAAAAUCGCUUCUUAGCUGCGUUCUUGUAUCUCCGCAGAGAUCUGCACGGGAGAUAUGGAGAGGAGAGGAGGGGGGAGGAAUGAUUUCUUCGGAUUUGGGGAUCCUUUUACUGGGUUUGGUGGCGGGAGGGAUGAUUUAUUUGGGUUUGGGGAUCCAUUUGCUGGAUUUGGGGGUUUUGGGAGACCUGGUACUGGUAGCCUCGUAUCUAGCUUCUUUGGUGGGAGGAAUCCUUUUGAUGACCCCUUCUUUACUCGGCCCUUUGGGUACCUGAUGGGCCCGAGCAUGUUUGACCCGAGGCCGGGCAUCCUCGGAGACACGGGCAAUACCGGAUUCAUUGAGCAAGCUCCGCCUCCAAGUAAACCCAGGGGUCCGGUCAUCAAGGAGCUGAACUCUGAUGAUGAAGAAGAAGAUGAGGAAGAGAAGAUUCACAAGGACAAGAAAGAUAACCCCCGAAAGCAUUCGCGGUCGAGUGAGGAGCCUGAUGUCCAGCACCCUGUUGAAGAAACGGAAGGUGGAUAAUUUUUGCUGAUUUUAAUUCGCCGCAGAAAGAAGCAUCUGACUUCUUCCCAGUAGUUAUUAUUUGGUUCGCUUAUUGGUUUGAAUGGACUACUAACUAUGGUUGACAUUUUAUUAGUCGGUGUUUCUGUUGAUCUUUUCUUUGUAACUUAUCUUGUAAUGGUCGACUGGUUGGUUUACUUGAAUCCAUAUUUGAUCAGCGGAAAUGCUCUGCGGUAAUACUAUAAAGCUAGUAGGUUUUCUUUGUGCCGGUUUGAGUAGAUGGACCAAAUUGGAUUUGGAAAUAUGUUAGAGGGGCACCUUAACCUUAUCGAACGCAGUGUGUAAACUUGCAAAUAGAUGGAACUUAGUUUGUGGUCUACACCUGUAUAUUUCUUAGUGAGCUUUUAGUUCUGUUGCAGUGCUGUUACAAUUAUUACCUAUGUGCAGAGGUUGAUAUUUGACGAUAAACGGCUAUAGGAUAAAUGCUGAACUCCCUCUUUGCUUGUUUUAUCUGCAGAGAAAAGGAGCCGACUUAUGGAGUAUAAGAACGGGUUUCAGAGAGCUAGUACCUCGCGAUCAAAAGCUCAUGCUUAUACUUUCCAGAGCUCAACUGUGACUUAUGGUGGUCGUAAUGCUUCUUAUUAUACUUCAUCCACGACAAGAAGAACUGGUGGUGAUGGAGUAAGUAACUUUGGUGGUCGUUUAUUGCUUUCCUGAUCUGUUGCAACAUGACAGAUUGGUGAUGACCCUACAUAGGCCUAGUUAGGAAUGUUGCAUAGAAUUGUUGCUCUACUAGGUAUUGAGGCCAUUCUUAUACGGAUGUUUUGGACCUUUGUCCAAUAGGAUCACACAUUGAUACAUAAACUUUGUAUUGCGGCACUGCACGAAUUCUUAUGUAGUAGAAAAAGCAACCUGUUCAUUUUUUCCUCCAGAGCGUUCACAUACAACAUGAUUUCGUGCACAUGGGAUCAGAAAUAUUCAUAAUGGAGAAGUUAGUACCAGUGCCUGGUCACACUACAAUAGUCUUUGCAAAGUGGGCUAAGGUUGAGUUGAGAUGAGUUAAGGAUGUGUCAUGAUUUAAUGGUGUCGCUCACAUGUAUAUAUAUAUUUUUUGUUUUAUUAGGUUACUGUCGAAGAAAGUAAGGAGGCAGAUACCACAACUGGCAGGGCCACCCAUAGAAUAUCUCGAGGAAUUCGUGACAAGGUCAUCCAGUGCUACUAAGCUCUCCUUUUCUGUCAUAUUUCUUGUUUGUGUUGCUGCAUAGUUCCUUUGUACACUGAGUGAAAUAUAUUUUAUCCAUCAAUUCAGUGGUGAGGUAGGAUUUCACUAAAUUUAUCAGAUGUUGUUCGCUUUGCAGGGGCAUUCAGUGACAAGGAAACUGAACUCUGAUGGAAGAGUUGACACUAUGCAGACAUUGCACAACCUGAAUGAAGGUUUGAACUCUUAAAAGCUGAAUGAUGUUUGUAUACCUAAAAGAUGUUUGUAUGUCUCCCUUUGGUUUUUCUAUUUUAUGUAUUCAUAUAUUUUUCUUCUUUAGAUGAGCUUGCUGGGUUUGAGGAAGCUUGGAAGGGAAAAGCAAGGCAGCACUUACCUGGUUGGAACCCCAGUUCUACUAGUAAGUUAAUUCAUCAAAUUGACUAAAUUUUGUUGAUUUUUCCUGUUUGCUGGUAGCAUGGUCAAUCUACAACCCGUAUUUUGAGUUCUUGUAGGGCAAAAGUUUCGGAUCAACAAUCACAUUAGGAUCAUAUAAAAUUGCUACCAUUUGCAAAUCAAUCAAUCCAACUUAUAACUCAUUCUCUUAAUGAUUGUCCGAUCUAGGAACAGUGGUUGUAAUAUAUGACUGGUUGAUUCCUUGAUGCAUGCUAAUUAGAAACAAUACUGACCGGAAUCCAGUCAUAAAGAAAUUUAAUUAUUGAAGGAACCUAGCAUUGAAGAGAAGUGUAAUGUAAUGAUGGAACAACUAAAGCUAUAAUUAUCGAGAGCAAAGCAUGUACAGAAGGUCAAAAUUAUGGCUGUGUAAACUUUGCCCAAAACAUUGUUGCCAAAUGCGAGUGUCUCGCUAACUUGGACGCUCGAUCAAGAUAAACCCCACCAGCACCUUACCACCUUUAAGGCUGAGCACUUAUCUUUGCACCUAGCUAAGUGCCUUAGGCCGAGUAGGUGACUAUGGUAUGCUCUUUGUUUGGUGUAUUGGGCUUUACAUUUCUCUCACUUCUAUUUUCUAACUUACAAAUAAGUGCAAGCAUGGGUGGAUGAGAGUGAACAAUUUUAUCAUGUUUAGUUUUUACUCAUUUGUCCUACCUAACUUACCUAGAGUACGUCAAGAAGAGCACAAAGUGAAGCUAACUUAGAGCUUGAUGCCAAAACUUGCUGUGAAAAAGUAAAAAAUUGACUAAUAUUCCAGUUGCUUAACCUUUAUAGCACUAAAAAGUCUAUAUUUCAAGAUAUGUCGGUGUUUUAAUUUGUUUGUAUGUUUUUAACUUUCUUGUGGAAAAAAUGUACAAACCUUGCCUGAUUACCGCAUUACGAAAUGAAAAAAGUUGCUAACUUUUUCCUUGUAAGUUGUUUAAAGUUUCACUGUCGUCUUUGUAUUUUUUAAGUGGACAAGUGACACCUUGAAUUCUGAUAAUUGUUCUAAGCCCUUUGAUAGAUUUUAACAUAUCUAUCAGUAGCCUAUCUGCUCUAAAGGAAGAGGGAACUCCUCAUUUAACUUUGCCUAAGCUAGAAGCCUAUUGAGAAGAAACUUUUCUCUAUUAAUUUAAAUAACCAUGGAAUAUAAAAGAGGAGAGACCUCUUAUCUAUAACUUAUAAGCUUGGGAUCAGCAUAAUAAUCCUAAUAUGAUAAGAAAACCCAAUAUGGAGAGGAUAAAUUAAAACUACUCUCAUGACCCGUUUGGUUGGAUGCAAUUGCAAAUAUAGUAUAGUUGGAAAAUCAUACACCUAAAAAUACAGCAGUUGUAACUACACCAAGUUUGUUUGGUUCUAUACAGUUGCUAGUGCUGUAAUUACAUGUCCUUUGUUUAGUAGUGUAAAGAUAGUAAUUAUAUUUGUGAAUAUUCUCAUCUUUUGCAUAAAGUGGUGAGAUUACUUCCGCUACAAAUAAAAUAAUCAUAUGUUAAUCAUUUAAACUUAAUAUCUAUAAAUAAGUGACUGGAUAUUAAUAUAAUAUAUUUACAUUUUUCAAAAAAUUUUCAACUCUAUAGUUUUGGAUAAAAUGUAUAGACAUCCCCCAAACUUUCCCGCUUUUGCAAAGAGGCCUUUGAACUUCCAAUUUUGGAAAAUAACCCUUUGAGUUUCACUAUACUUUGCAAUCUACCUUAUGCUUGCUUGGCAUCAAAAAAUUAAUGGAGAUGGGAAUAAGCGGUAAUUGCAUGUGCUACUUUUUCCUCCUUUUCAUCUCCAAAUGGGGCUCAAAACUGAUAUAAAAAAUGAAUGGAACAUAUUCUUGAAAAAUACUUGCUCUAACUUCAUAAGGAAUUUAUUGUUCUUAGUCCUCCCAAGAAUAUUUGCUUUGUAAAUAAUAGACCUUUCAUACAUAUGCAUAUAGCAGGGGGAAAAAAAAGAAUUCCUUAUCAAAUAUUUACUUGUUCCAUACAAAGAUAAACAAAAAUUUGAUAUCAUCCAUGGGGCCAUCUCCAAUCCUUCCAUGAAGAAGAAGAUGCUUAUGUUUUAUAUUCUCCAAGGUUUGGUCUAGAAAGCAGAUCACGUGAUUGCCACGCGUGCCCAUCUCCAUUAAUUCUUUGACGCUAUGCGGACAGAACAGUAAAUUGCAAAAUAUAGUGAAGUUCAAGAGGUUUUUUUCCAAAAUUGAAAGUUUAGGGUCUUGUUGCAAAAGCGGGAAAGUUUAGGGGUGUCCAUACAUUUUACCCUAAAAUUUUCAAUCUAUUUAACUUUAAUACAUAAACCAAACUUUUUUUAAAACAUCUACUACUCUUUUCUCUACUUUUUUUUUUUGUGAAAUUGAAAAGCUAUAAUUAAUUAAAAUUUAUUAAAAUAAUGUAUGUAAUCAAACUCUAUCAAAACGUACAAACAAACUAGUUUUUAUAUUUGAAAUGAAACUAUUUUUUUCUAAAAUUUUAAUUUUUUAUGUAAAGCAUACGUUGCACAAGCAUCAUUAUUACUAUUUAUAAAUAUUGAGUAUAUAAAUUUAUUUUUAAAUCUAUACUAGUAUAUAUCUAUUUAUUGUUAAUGAAUUUAUUUACCUAUAUUUAUUUGUUAUUCUUAAUUAGUGGGGGAUCCAAUCUCUUACCAGCUGUUGUAGUUGGAACUGCAACCAACUUAUGUGUAGUUACAACUACAUCAUUUGAGCCUCCUUGUGUAGUUCCAACUGGAACAGUCGGACUCAAUUGCACCAAACUAAACAUAGGAUUUGAGUUUGCAUGCAGCUUGAAAUGCAGUGCAGUUUCAAUUAUGUGCAACCAAAUUGUCCUUUAAUCUGCUAAGAUUUGUUAAAUAAUUCUCUCCUUAUCUACUAAGUAAAUAAUGCUAAUAUACUCGGGAGAGGGCUGCUUAUUUUAGGUAGCUUAGGGUUUGAGAUGAUCGUAGCAUCCUUUUUAUUAUAUUCAGUUUUGAGUGACGUGAUAUCGACAUGGCCAGCAGUAAGCAUCACUAUCACUCAACUCCAGCUGAUGCCAUCAACUUCAGCUUGGCCAUCACAAAAAGGCUAGCAUGUAAGCUGAUGUGUUUGCUAUACUCAAUUUAAGUUGAUGUGGCUGCUAAUGUAAGUUAGCUUGACCCUUACUCACUUCUCACUUUAAUGGAACAUGGAUAAAAUUGAAACUUCAGGAGGACUCAGAAACUGUAGGUGCAAUUUGCCCUUCAGAAAUUGGAUGCUGACCUUGAAAUUCUGGUUUACAAUCUAAACAAAUUUAUUUUGUUUAAAAUUCUGUCAAUUUCUAUUGGAAUUUGAUGGUUUCCAUCAGAAAAGUGAUAAAAUAAUUUGUUGGGUUGCAAACUAUUCCAUAAAAGAAGUUAUGAAUAAUGUUGACUUGUGUUGACUUAUGUCAUGGAAGUACUUAAUCAAAAUUAUUUUACAGUUGAGGCUUCUGUUGUAAAAUGCACAAUAUUUUAGGUUGGUUCUAUAUGACUUUAUCCUUUCCUUAAAUACUGUGCAUUGCUCUACUUGGGCUAACCUCUUUUUAGCGUUUUAUGCCUAGAUAAUAUUAGAAGGUGUCGUCUCAACGACAUCUAUCACCAGGCAAGGGCGCUGCGAGUUAGCUAGAUCUGUUUGAGUGGGUCUAGAGGGUACCUUUUUGUUUGGACAUAAAAUAUGUAACAUUUUGGAGAAAAUAAGUUAUAAACCUUGAUGCAGUUUCACAGUUGUACUGGCUUAAUUUGGAAGUAAUUACUCUGACGCUCUGUUGUACCUAUAUUAUGUAUGCGUUGUAAGGUUUGCGUAUGUUUCCUCUUCGUUCGGGUGGGGGAAUCUCGCUCGUUUGAUGUGUCUGUUGCACGUGGCCGAGCGGGUCCAAUUGGCGGGACUUAGGGCCUGACAGAAUAAGUGAAAAACGACAAGUCGAACUGGAUUCCAAUUCAUGGAAGGGAAGCUUCACAUUUUUUCCAAUGUGACAAGCGAUGCAAUGAGAUAAAUUUAUUUUGGGACUAGUAUAAAUAGAAAUUUUGUUUCCUCUGAUAAACUUAGCUAAAACGUCUUGACUAAGUUGGCGUACCCUCCUAUGUGAGAGAUCAUAACUAGAUCUAGAUGCACCUAAAGCUAACUUUUGUUAUUUCCAACACUUGCAACUGUGGAAGAUAGUGGUUACAAUGAUUCCUUGAACUACGGCACCGGAAGAGCUCUUUCACCUCUUUUUGGUCGUCCAUAGAAAAACGAGAGGAGUCAAAUUCAAAACUUGUCCUUCAAACAAAGACCAGAGGAGCCAAAUUCAAAACUAGAACUGUUGUCAUGAAGAAGAGGCUAGCAGAAAUUAAAUUCCUCUUAAUCUAGGGAACAACAAGAAAUUCUCAAGAUCAAGAGAUUUGGAUGUUGUUUUUAAAGUUGUUUCACUAGUUACUAGUUUGAGUGAUAGAGACUGCAUUUUCAUUCCCACCAGAAUCUUGUCAUGACCACUGUAUGGUUUUAGAGGAUGAAACAGUACCUGGGUCGGCAUGAUUAGAGUUUCCAUUAUCAGUAUCAUUUAACUAAACCUCCUCACCUGGCUUAGGUGCCUCCAUAGCAGAAAAUGUCUGAGAAAGAUCAUUUGAAACAAAAGUAUGGUUCAAUUUUUGUCUGCACUGAAGAGCAGAGAUUGGAAACUUUGACAUUGAAUGCUGAUCGGGCUUGAGACUGUGACCGGGGAUUGUUAGGUUGAUGAGGGUAAGAAUGAGAACAAGGUUGUGGCUAUGGGUAAUUGGAUGGUUGAAUUGUUCAUGUUCCAUAGAGUUUACGGUCUGAAUAAGGAUUGCAACCUCCCCGCUAUCAUUGGCCUACUUGGAAUCUACUUCCGCGUCCUCCACAAAUUCCUCGGCCUUGGUUGGCACAAAUUGCUCCAGUUUCCAUAGAAAGUGGGGUCAGUGGUAUCGCUUGACUCGCUCUACGCGGCACCUUAGUCUCUUCUUGCAUUAGAAGUGGACGAAGUUGUUCAAAAGUAGGCUUUGCUUUGUGUUAGUGUGCUCACAAAAUUUCUAUAUUCCUCGGGCAUCCCAACUAGAACAAUCAUAACAAGGUUAUGGUCUGAUUCUCCUUCCCCAAUCGCCUGAAGUGCAUCACCAAUUGACUUCACCUUUCGCAUGUGCUCAGACAUGAUCAUUGUUUUUUUUUAAUGCUUCUCAAUUCUAACUUGAGAGAAAAAGCAGUGGAUGCAGUUUUGUCCAAAAAAUAUGCUUCAAUAAAUUUUCAUUCAUCAUGAGCGGUUAUGGGUAGAGAUCAGCAUCUGAAGAAUACUGAGCGACAGUGUAGCAUUGAUCCAAGUCAAUAUGGUGGUGUCUUCUUUGUUCCAGAUAGUGUCUUCUAAAUUGACAACCAACCUCUUAUUAGAAGACUCAAUGAAUUGAGGAGGAAUUAUAACUGUCCCAUCUACAAAGGAUGCCACUCCAAAGCUUUCUAAAGCAUUCAAAAGAACUUGUUUCCAAACCAAAUUAGUGAUGUCUGCAAAUUUUACUAGUACGAUUGUUUUGCUGUUGAUAAUGGAGAGAGAGAGAUGUUUGCCGCCAUGACUCACCAAAUAACAGGAUUGUAGGAUGUAGGGAGAAUAGCAGCAGUCAACAAGCCUUAGUAAGAGAGAGAAAGAACCAGCAGAAGAGAAAAAUCACCCAUAGGGCAGAAGGUACUGUAGCUGCAGUUCUGCAUGCACUACUGUAGCAAUAGUAUUGUAGCUGCACUACUAUAGCGACAUUAGAGUAGCAACGCUACAACAACAGCAGCAGGGCAGCUUGGAAUUCGGAGGAGGAAGAAAGGAUCUAUUGACGCUAUCCAAAAAUUUAUGGCGAGAGCCAGAUCACUUAUUCCUAGAGUUUUGGGGUUUGGCUAUGGUACCAUGCAAAGGAAGUGAAAAGACCCACCGUCUAGGAUUUCUAUUGGAAUAUAUAUAGAGUCUGGUAACUAUAAUCUUAUGAGUACGAUCGACUUCGUAUUCAUAAGUUGUUUUCGAUGAUAGAACUUCCAAAUCAACGGUCCAUACUGUUAAACAUAAUUUAGAGUAUUUGAAACUUUUAGAAAUCAAAUUUCAUUAUUUUCGACGUCAUUUACCUUUCGAUUAAAAGAUCUCAAAAUUGAUAACUUUUAGUGACCGGUAUGGGAUAGUUGCAAGUUUAACGGUGUAAAAGACUUGGAAUUGGUUGAAUUUUUGAUAGAUAAUUCUAUUCACUAUUUAGAUAAAAAUCAAUAACUCCAAUCCUAAAUUGAAGGAUCAGAUCAUCCAUUUUUAGGAUGUGGUUCAAUUUCGACCGUUCAUUUUAUACCCAUUUGAUGGACUUUAUUAUAAUUUUAAAAAAUUAUGAAAUUUAUUUUUUAUAAGUUUCAAAUGCUCUAACAUCAUAUUUAACGAUGUGGAUUAUCAAUUCGGAAGCUCCAUCAUUAAAAACAACUUAUGUGUUAUGUUGUGAUACCUUCCUUAUGCAAUCUUGAUUGAUAUCUGUUUCUGGUUGGAACCACUUGCAUUGUUUGGAUUGCGACGCCUAGAACGUACAGGGGAGACUCUGUCCGCGUACAGGGGAAACCCCGGUCCGUUCGGCGGUUUGUCGUCGGCGCUGCGACCCGGUCCAAAUUGGCGGUUGGUCGCGGGGCGUGACAUUAUAAGUACAAAGAGCUUUAUACGUAUAAGAGUAUAGUAGCCCUACUCUCUCUCUCUCUCUCUCUCUAUAUAUAUAUAUAUAUAUAUAUAUACACAUAUACAGAUAUAUACAUAUACAUAUAUAUAUAUAUAUAUAUACAUAUACAUAUAUAUACAUAGAGCAAGGCUGCUCAGGGCCACGGAGGCGUUUUCGAUGAUGGAAUUUUCGAAUCGACGAUCGGCUCCGUUAGACUUGAUCUAGCAUAUUUGAAGUUUCUAGAAAAUAAUUUUUGCAAUUUUUUGAUAUCAUUUACCUUGUGAUCGAAAGGAUUCAAAAUCAAUAAUUUUUAAUGGUUGAUAUCUGCCGUUUUCAAGUUUAACGGUGUAGAAGUAUUCAAAUUAGAUGAAAUUUUGAUACAAAAUUCUUUAUACUAUCUACAGCAAGAUCAAUAUUUCUGAUCGAAAAUUUUAGUGAUAUAUCACCACUAUUUAUAGGAUUUUUAUUUUCAACCGUUAAAAAUUAUUGAUUUUGAAUCCUUUCGAUUGUUAGGUAAAUGAUAUUGAAAAAUCGCAAAAAUUAUUUUCUAAAAACUUCAAAUACGCUAGAUUAAGUUUAACGGAGCCGAUUGUCGAUUCAGAAAUUCCAUCAUCGAAAACGGCUCAGGAGCACGGAGGCCUCCGUGCUCCUGAGAGCACAGCAGUCCUGCUCUAUAUACAUAUACAUAUAUAUAUAUACAUAUACAUAUAUAUACAUAUACAUAUACAUAUACAUAUAUAUACAUAUACAUAUACAUACAUAUACAUAUACAUAUACAUACAUAUACAUAUACAUAUACAUAUACAUAUACAUACAUAUACAUAUACAUACAGAUACAUAUACAUAUAUAUAUAUAUAUACAAGAUGCAUAUAAUCAUGUGCUAGUCAUGUAAUGACUAGAGACUAAUAUAUGUUACACCCACCCUAAUAAUAAGUACAAAUGCUUACAUUCUACUUGCGUGCUUGAAAAUGGCUUCAAAUUUCAAACGAGAAGUGAAAUAUAUUAUCCAACUAUCUUUGAUGGCUAGCAAUCUAUAUUGGCGAUACAUGUUUUUGGAGUUGUAAAGUAGUUGGACUAAAUUGCUAUAAGGAAAACUGCAUUCUACAAUAGGUUAUAGGUAUGGUAACAAGAACUAAGUCAAACAAAUGAAGUGACUUGAUGCUAAUUUUUACUAUUGUACUUACCAUUCUAUAAAAUUUUAGCUGUAAUUGUCACACUUAAAUGCUGGUUAUUUUGAUCUAUUUUAUUUUCUAGCUUUUUAUCAAUUCUACGGAGCCCUGCUAUUCACGAUAUGAUUUAUGUUCCGUUAUUACUGGGCACAUUUACUUAGGUGGCUAUUGGAUUUUGAUCUGGCCAACAUUGUAUGCUGGAUUUGUAAAUUUUACCGUGGUUUUCGUUAGCUGUGGGAGUUGAUGGUCUGCUUUACCCCACUAAACCACCCUCCUCACCCAUAAAAGAGAAGGAAAGAAAAAUCUGGAAAGAAGACGAACAAAUUAGUUUCAGGUGUUGUACAGUAUAGCGUGUAUACCUUGAUUGCAAUCUUGCGGAAGUCUCAGGUUUUCUUGCACUUUGUUUAAUUGAAGCUGUCUAUGAUUGCACGCGUCUAUGAUUGCAAGGGCUCCCAAAAUCGAUAGUUUUCGACAGCCUAUAUGAGCUAGUUGCUCGUUUAAUGGUGUAGAAAAUGCCAAAUUGCUUGAAGUUUUGAUAGAUUUUUUUAUUAUUUUUUUUUAAUAACUAUCUAGAAGCCAUUUGGAAACUCUAAUGUUCAAUUGAGAAAGUGUAACCUAUAUUUUCACAAGGUUAAUUGUUUUCAGCCGUCCAUGGUACGACUCUUUGAUGGACUUUUAUGAUUUCUAAGAAUCAAAACUUCUGUUCCUAAAUAUUUCAAAUACUCUAGUUCAACAAAUUUGGAGCCCGAAUUAGCAAAAACGAUUUGAUAGGAUGGAUGCUUCGGUCCUCUUAGAGGAUAAUAGCUGGACUGCAUUCUAGUCAUUGAUGAGUUCUUGCCUUCUUAUAAACCAUCCAAAACCAGUAUAUAUGCUAUUGUAUUGGAGGUUUAUAGGUUUUCCUUGUUUUAAAAAUUAUCUCAAAUGAUCUGCUCAUCUUUCUGCUGCAUGUGGGGGUUCAUCGACCGGAUUCCCUCCAGAAAUCUUUGUCAAAUCCUUUACUGCUAAUAGCUGAGAUUGGUGGUCCUCGUGAUCUAUGUUGCUUGGAAGCCUAUAUCGUUUGUUCUUAAUUGCUUACUGUUUGUGAGAAAGGCAAAUUAUACUGACAGUACCUAACACAGUUGGCUAAAGGCUUGAUGGUUGGUAUUUGAGAUCCCAAGUUUGAAGCCUAGUUGCUUCACAUUUCUAACCGAGUUCCUUCCAAAAAAAUGAUCCAAGCAGGUAGCUUUGCUACCUUUCUCUUUCUCUCUCUGGAAAAAAAGGGAAAUUCUGGAAUAUAUUGAAUAAAUUUAUCUUAUAACUGCCAUUCUAAUUAGAAUUCCUGGCUUGUGGGACUCUUCCAUCUGGUUUUCCCUGCCUUGGAUGUUUUCUCGAGAAAUUAGCUUGCCUUUCUGCUGCCAUAUGGUACUAAUUAUCAGGACUCCUUUGUCCAGAAGUCUCUGUCAAAACAUCCUUUGCUGCUAUAAACUGAGUUGUGGUCCUUGAUCUAUGUUGUUUUGGAGCCUCUCUAGUUUGUUCUUAAUUUGUGUAUUAUAUGUAUGAAAGGAAAACUCUUGAUUCUAUUGAGUUCAUUCAUCUCUUAACUGCCAUUUGAUUUAGAGUUCCUUUCUCUUGGGGCGCUUUGCUCUGGUUUCUCGAUCUGUGGUUGUUUGGUGAUUUUAACGACCAAGUCAUUAGUCAUGAUGAGGCAAAAUUCUACAUGCUGCAGUUAAAGAUGGUGCAAUGUUGAUUAGAUCGAAGAAAAAUACAGUCUAAUUUUGUACGUAUAUUUAAUUCUUAUUGCAAGUUACUAAAAUGCGGAGGCUUAUUUAGGUUUGAUUAUUUAUUUUUAAGUUUGAUAACUCUAAUUUCUUCAGGUGGGUCUAAUUGUAUUCAGACUGACUCUCAACUUGAAGAAUUAGGAAUGAAAUCGAGCCCAAUUGACUCGGUUUUGAUGAAAUUCUUCAAUCAAUUUCUUGUGUCCCCCGAUUGUUGCUAAUCGACCAAUGUUGGCCAUUUGGGUUUAUUUUGGUAACAACAAAGAUGAUCCCGUCAGUUUUGACUUUUGAUAGAAAACAGAACAGGAAGGUAAUAUUUCCCCUAUUGAAAUGCCUCCUGUAGGUUCCUACUGUUUAAAAUCCCUCUUGACAUGAAAAGAAGUCCCGCUGCACUGACAGUCCUAUAACCAGCCAUACUCUUUUCUGCAUUUGCACUCCUAUGACACUUUUUCUUAGUGCUCAUUUUUAAGGGGCUUUAACUGAUAGUUUUGAAACUCUUUAAUCAAGUAAUGAUUUAUAAACAUUCCCUGAGAGGUCGACUUGAAUCCGAAGGGCCCUCUUUUCUAGUUUCCUACAGCCAACCUCUCGAUUUUCUUUAGUGCUCACUACUGAAUUUAUGUAGAACGGUGAUUGUUUCACCAUUGAAAGUGAAUUUCUGCCACUGAAUGUUCCAUUGGACUACUUUUGAGUGUCUAUCGACCAGGUAAAGGUGUCUAUCCACCCAUCCAAGUUAAUAGUGUUUAAUUAUUCUCAAGUUAUGUUUGAUCCCCUCUAAUCCUUACACUUUUAUAUCACGUCAUUAGAGAAAGUUGAGAGACUUAAUAAGAUUGGACUACUGUUGUGUUUGAAAACUCUGUUUGUUUGGAGUCACUUCUUCCUGCUCUGUAAAAGUUAGAAGCCUGAGCCAUGUUGUUAUAGGUUCAAAUUUUGUGAGCACCUGCUCGGGGCAAAAAUGCUUUUGAGGUUGGGACUGUACGCGAGACUUCCUCUUAUUUUUCUUUGGCAGGGGGAUUAUAAUGCCCUCGAAAUAACUUCGCUGAUUUUGGUUUGAACAUUUAUGAUAAUACCUUCAUAAGAGAUGAACAUUCGCGCUAUUCAUAAAAUAUUUCCCGUCUGUUGAAUUCAAUUAACGACGACUGGCGCUCCUGGCCUAUACUCCUUGCAUCUACUGUUAAUUAAUUACUCAAGUGAGUUGCUUUGCUAGUGAGACGUACUCAGUGUUUGCAGGCAUCCGAGUGGCAAGAUAUUCCUUCCAUUUUGUGGUUUUCUUUGGUAAUUAUUGUUGCGCAUACUCACGUAGUGGAACCUAGUAUUUUGUUGUCCAAGUGCCAAAAUAUUGAUGCUUGACUUGCUGUCUGAUGUCAUACUCUUUAAGUUUCGAAGAGCAUAAGUUAUGUCAUGAAAUAUAUAUACAUGUCUUGACAUGAUACUAUUGCGAGAACUCUGCAUUCACUGUUCUCUCAUGGACUCUUUUAAUGGUUCAGAAAUUAUUACCUUAUUCAUUAAUUGCAUGUUGCCUUUAUGAUUUUCUAUAAAAUUUCUUAUGGAAUCAUUGUAGGAGAUGCAAGCAGCAGCAACAGCAGCAGCAGGGGAUGGGCACUUCCAGGAACUGAGCGAGCCCAUGACUCGGCUCACAUGAAGUCACGGCCUCCAGCUGAUUCUUUCAAGCGACGAGCCUGAUGAAUAAAGAUAGGCUCAACUUACUAAUGACACCUUUGUGAUGUGUCAUUCUUUCCGAUCACGCCACUUUACAGAAGUACAUAGUUGUCCUUUUGGGAUCUUGUGUAGUCACUUCGCGUAGCUCAAAGGGUUUUAAACUUCGGAGCUUUCUUUACUGUCGCAUCCUUCUAAAUAUACUCAAGAAGUUGAAGCCCGGUGGCCCUUGUGGCAGAACUGUUUCCGGACGGCUAUGACUCUAGUAUGAGUAUGAUGUGUGCUAUUGAUAAUAAUCACUCCUGAUAAUUCGUCAUAUAGCUGAUCACUUGUUUCUUGAAAAGAUUGUUAGCUUUGUUUUGUUGAAGACUUCGUUUUUUUCAGUAUUAACAGCCGGGUAGUCAUUUUUGUAUUUCGAGCAAAGUGCUUGGAUGCCUCGCAAUUCACAAUUUUCAGAUGUUUGAGUUGGACCUGUCUGGUGAGUUAUCUUUUUGAUGUGGUCUGAACCGUUGCUUCAGCCAAAUUUGGCAAUAAAAAGUAGGGUGAAUUUCAGUUUCGCGAGAUAUUUAGGUUACCAGACAGCAAAUGAUAUUCGAGGGGUUUUCCGGACUGUUCUUUCUUUAGUUUUCAAACUAACAAAUACUGGAGGGAUGAACAAUUUGCUGGGGCCGAACGACUUACUAUAUCUAAGCAAGUUGCAGAUUACACGCAACAAUUUGGUGAGAUCUUUUAUAAUGAAAUUUUUGGUAGCUGCUUUGAUUUUACUUUUGUGUUAGUUGUCUUUGUCGUUACUGGGGGUUGAGCUACGGGAGCAUGAAUCCUCAAGUGGAAUCAUUUUUGGAGUGUUUGGAUUAAUGUAAAGGCCCGUUUAGUUUCUCCAUUUACAAUAUAUUUUGAUAAUUCUCCAUAUUUUUAAUUGAAAUUAUUUAAAUUAUUAUUAUUCAAUUCAAGUUGGAUUCUUGUAGGAAGUGUUACUAAAGUGGUGGAAUCAGUGAAGAUUUCUUUGCAGUAGAAAUAUUAGAUUUUUAUAACUUAUAAGCUAUUCUCAUUUUCAUACUAUAGGUGUAAAUAUUCGAAAAUAAAGGUUAGUUAUAAAAUAAUAUAAAAAGUGUCGACGAGUUAGAUCAAUCCUAAACACGAAAAUCUUGCUCUUUUCAAGGAUAUUCAAGUUCUCAGCGGUUGGUAAAGUUUUUGAACCGAUACAGCAGAAUACUAACUUGUCCGCUUUAGGAUACAACGGCUCGAUUCUCGUUGUGUGGCUUCACCAACUUUGUAUAAGUGAAUGAGCUCAAAGUUUCACCAAAAAAAUAUUUUUUUUUGCUCCUUUCUCUCUCACAAGUAGAAUAUAAAUAACUUGUUUUUCGUUGUCUUUAAGAAUGGAAAGCACACUAUAUAUUGGCUUCACGAUCCUAUUGUAAGGAAAAUUUUAAAAUAAUAUAUUUUGUUUAUUGUUUUUAGUGAAUGGAUGUGAUUCUUCGUGAAAGGAUGCAAUCCUUAGUGAAUGGAUGCAACUCUUAGUGAAUGGGUGCAACCCUUAGUGAGUGGAUGCAACUCUAAUCAAAGGGUAUGACUCUUAAAGUGAAAGGAUGUGACUUUUAGUGAAAGAAUAUGAUAUGAAAAGACACAUCUUUAUAGUNUUGGAAGUCCUCGGUUUGCGUGAACGAGCCACUUGAUCGCUCAAAUCACAUAAAAUGAUAGGAUUUUAUAUAAUUUGAGGAGCUUUUAUGCUUUUGUACACCUUGUGGCUACUGUGGGCAGUGCAUGUGUGUGUGUGGUGACCUCUAGACUGAUUGUCCAUGAUCCCUUAGCCUUUGCGAAAAUCGAGGAGUCGAUUUUGGUGCGUUUUGCGGCGAAAUUCGCCGAAAGAACGCGGUUUCAGUUCGGAUUUCUUCCGACGUCGUUUGGUUGCUCUGUAAGUAGCCGCUAAGCCUUGUUGGCUGGUCACCAUCAUCACCGUGGGGGUUCGGUGAUGACGGGUGAGCGAUUGUGGGUUCUGAUGUCGAAAUAGACACUUUCGGAACUUCCAGCGAGUUAUGACAAUCGGUACUGGAAAACCGAUCUCCGUGGGUUUGUUUGUUGGUUGUGGAUACUGUGGUUAUUAGUUGUGGGUUAGAUACUAACCCGGUGGACCCUCUAUAGGUCCGGUUGACAUUCUUUUGCAGUCAGGAGAUAGACGCGACAUCCUUACAGGUGGGUACUUCGAUCCGACGUUGGUACAGUGGUGCACGCUUGGUGAUGGUUUCUUACCCUUGCUCUUUUGUUAUUAUCCAUGCAUAUGUUAUAUGUUGAGCUUCGCACCUCUAUUGUUUACAUUACACCCACGUUGUUUGAUUAUACUCUACUCAGACGUUUCCAUGCUUAGUAUCAUGCGUAGGAGUAUAGUCUAUCUGUAUGUGAUACCAUAUUUCCUUGUUGCUCUACUUAGCUAUUCUGCAUAUCCUGUUUCAUGUUUAGAGUAGAGCGAUUUCGUGAUUUCUUGUGAGAUCGGUGACCUAGUCGGUCGGUUCCUUGAUGUCUGUCGUUUGAUGACCUUUGAGGUCGGUGUACCCUGAGGGGUCGGAUUGUCGGCUAGUGGCCGACGGUAGUUCUAGAUUAUAUACUCAGAUGACUUGUUGAUCGAUUCUUGCUUAUAUACAGUAGUUGACCUAAUGAUCAGUAUCUACAUACUUUUGGUAGGAUGUUGAGUUGUUCCAUCCCAGUUGAUUUGAUUAGUCAGUACUUGCAUACAGUUGAGAGGAUGUAGAGUCGUUCCAUCCUAGUUGACCUGAGUGGUCAGUCCUUGUGGUUCAUUGAGCAGUAUUUGCAUAUGUUUGAGAGGAUGUCGAUGUUGUCCCAUCCUAGUUGACCUGAGUGGUCGGUUCUUGUGCUUCUUUACAGUUGACGACCUAUGCGGUCGAUGGGCCCUGGGGGGCAGGAUUGUCGGCUGGUUGCCGACGGUUGAUCAUUGAGCAUAUUGCAUUGAUCGCCCGAUACUCGUCGCAUUUCACGAACACUGGCGGUCUGAUCCACCGCAAGGAGUGUUCUUUUCCGGAAAAGUGGUUGAAUGGUGACAACCCGUGAGCCCUAGAGGGGUUAUAUGCACUGGAGAGUAGUAGUGGCACUGGCUUGAGGUCUGCGGUGCUGACCAAGAGAGCAUUGGUUUCAGAUUGGGUACUUUUGGACUUCUUGACCGGUUGACGCAUAUGUCUAUAGUAGCAGUCGUUGCAUGCAUACUUACAGUUCUUACUUUAUAGUUGUCUUGCUGCUAUAGUAGAUAUUCAUGUAUGCUUUCGGUUCCAGUUACAGUAGCGGUAGCCGUUAUUCAGUCUAGUUCUUACUUUCUUUCAGUUUAUUGCUACUGUAUUCGGUAUAUCUGCUCUUUACCUUACUAUUGUUGCUACUAUAUUUCCACUGACCCUUGUUGUUAUUUAGCUCUUCCUGAUCCGGUGAGUACUCCUCGCCUUCAUCGGCUUGCGGUACCCACUGGGAGGGGAGACAUGUUUACAUGUUCUCACCUCCCCCACUAUUUUUCAGGUAUCGCGGGCGGUGAGGGUUGAGACGAGACGUGAGAUAUGUACGUAGCGGUCGAUAGAGCUUCCGACCCAGGUUAUUGGUCUAGUUCCUAGCCUUACUAUUCUAUUGACAUAGUUUAGAUAGUUUACCUGGUUCAGUAUUUUUAUUACAUUUGAAUAUGUGGAUUUUCAUGAAUGUAAUAAAAGGUUUUCUACCCCUCGUGGUAGCGUUUUUAAAGAAUAAAGAUUUUCGUGUAGGAAACAGUUUUCAAAAAAAUUUUCUCAUGGAUUUCUGUUUAAACAUUGAAUGUAAAACUGUAAUGUGAAUGGUGAAUGAAUGAUUGCAUAGUCGUUUACAUAUUCAUUUGGUUGUGGUUGUACCUGGGUUACUUCUUGUACUUGUGCGACGCCGUGCAAAUAUAGGGGAGACUCUGUCCGUGUGAACAGUGAAUUCCAUGUAUUUGUGGCGGAUCUGGCAUUCCCUGGGGUUAGGUUUUCAAAAAAAAAAAAAAAUUUCCGCAGUGUUUUUAACCUAAAGGGACCCGGGGCGUGACAGCUUAAAUCCGAAAAUGUCGACUGCUACUCUACAAGAGAUGGCAACAAACUUUAUGAGACUAGAAAGAUUUGAUGGCAUGAACUUCAGGCGUUAGCAGAAGAAAUCAUUUUUCCUUCUGUCGACUCUCAAAGUUGCUUAUGUCCUCACUACUCCAAGACCAGAAGAAAACGAUGAUGAACCUAUUGCACAAACUCGUACAAGACAAAAAUGGGAUGAAGAUGACAAUAUAUGCCGAGGCAACAUUCUAUAUGCUAUGUCGGAUGCGCUUUUCGAUGUCUAUCAAAAUGUGAAAACGACUAAAGAACUGUGGGAAGGCCUUGAAGAAAAAUACAAAUCCGAGGAUGCCACAAGUAAGAAGUUUCUUGUUAGCAAAUUUAAUAACUAUAAAAUGGUUGAUAGUAGAUCUGUUCUAGAUCAAUUACAUGAAAUUCAACAUAUUCUCAAUCAAUUUACUCAACAUAAUAUGAAUAUGGAUGAAUCUAUAAUUGUGGCCUCUAUAAUCGAUAAACUUCCUCCAUCAUAGAAAGACUUUAAGAAAAGUCUUAAACAUAGAAAGGAAGAGAUUACUCUUAAAGAUUUGGCUAACCAUCUUCGCAUAGAAGAAGAAUAUCGUUUGCAAGAUAGCAAAAAGGAGCAAGAUGCUCAGAGUGCCAAAGUGUAUGUGACGGAAGAUGAGUAUAAUAAAACCUAUCAACUCACAAAAGAAAAUCGAAAGAGAGCCAAACAUCCGAUCAACCACAACAUGACAAAUACGAAAAAGAAAGGUGCAUGCUUUCAUUGUGGUAAACCAAGCCACUACAAGAAAGAAUGUCGGUUACUCAAAAAGGAAAGUGCACCGGAUUCCAAAAGAAAUUUUGUGGCUAUGAUAUCCGAGGCUAAUAUACUCGAAGAUGACGGAGCUUGGUGGAUUGAUUCGGGUUCCACAAGGCAUGUGUGCAAGGAUAAAAGUUUAUUCAAAACUUAUGAUGCAUUGGAGGAUGGAAACGUUCUCUAUAUGGGCAAUUCUUCAACAGCACAAAUCAAAGGAAAGGGCAAGGUGGAACUCGAGUUCACAUCAGGAAAAACUCUCACUCUCACCGAUGUGUAUCAUGUAUCCGAAGUUAGGAAGAAUCUUAUUUCAGGAAGUCUUCUUAACAAAUUUGGGUUCAAACUUGUAUUUGAGGCCGACAAAUUUAUUUUGUCGAAGGGUGGAAUCUUUGUGGGAAAAGGAUAUUUGUAUGAGGGCAUGUUCAAACUCAAUCUUAUUAAUAAAAUAAAUAUUUCAGCCUAUAUUAUUGACUCUUCUUCUUUAUGGCAUAAUCGUUUAGGACAUGUUAAUUAUAGAAAAUUACAAGAUAUGGCUAAGUUAGAGUUAAUUCCUAAUUUUGAUAAUAAAUUAGAAAAAUAUAAUACUUGCAUGCUCACUAAAAUUACUAGAAAGUCUUUUCCUAAAAUUGAUAGGUGUUCUAGUCUACUUGAAUUGGUACAUAGUGAUGUUUGUGACUUGCAUGCUUCUUCUUCUAUUGGUGGAAAGAAAUAUUUUGUUACAUUUAUUGAUGAUUUUUCUAGAUAUAGUUAUGUUUAUCUUUUGUCAUUCCAAAAACGAAGCGCUAGAUAAAUUUAGAAUUUACAAAUUUGAAGUUGAGGUGAAAUGUGAGAAAAUGGUCAAAUGCCUAAGACCAGACAGAGGAGGAGAAUAUUAUGAUCCUUCAUUUUUUGAGUCCAUUGGUAUUAUACAUGAAACCUCUGCACCUUAUACUCCACAACAAAACGGAGUUGCAGAAAGAAAAAAUAGAACAUUAAUGGAAAUGGUCAAUGCUAUGCUUUCUAACUCUGGGUUAAGUUAUGGAUUUUGGGGCGAAGCUUUAUUAACAGCUUGCCAUCUACUAAAUAGAAUCCCAACAAAAAAGAAUGAUAAAACUCCUUAUGAAUUAUUCAAGGGAAGAAAGCCCAAUUUAAAUUAUUUAAAAGUUUGGGGUUGUAGAGCUAUUGUGAGGGUUCCAGAACCGAAAAGAAAGAAACUGGGUGAAAGAGGAAUUGAGUGCAUAUUUAUUGGGUAUGCACAACAUAGUAAAGCAUACAGAUUUUACGUGAUUGAAUCUAAUGACUUCAUUGAGAUCAACACAGUUUUUGAAUCUAAAGAUGCUAUAUUUGAUGAAAACAGAUUUGUAUCAAUUCCUAGACCCAAAGAACUUAUUGUGAGUAAAGAACACUCCAAUGAGAAAAAUGAUGUUGCAAUUGAAACCCCAGAACUUAGAAGGAGUAAAAGAGUUAGAAUUGCUAAAACAUUUGGACCAGAUUUUUAUACUUUUCUUGUUGAGGGUAGUAGAGAAAUGAUUACAGAAAGUUUCCAAUUUUGUUUAAACAUUGACUCAGACCCCACAACAUUUGAGGAGGCAAUGAAAUCUCCUGAUGUCGCUUUUUGGAAAGAAGCGAUAAAUGAUGAAAUGGACUCAAUUAUGACAAACCAAACAUGGAAAUUAGUUGAUCUUCCUCCUGGAUGUAAACCUAUUGGGUGUAAAUGGAUUUUCAAAAAGAAAAUCAAUGUAAAUGGCACCAUAGAUAAAUUCAAGGCAAGACUUGUUGCCAAAGGGUUUACACAAAAAGAAGGCAUUGAUUAUUUUGAUACCUAUGCACCUGUUGCCAGAUUAGCGACUAUUAGAACUUUGAUUGCUCUUGCUUCAAUGUAUAAUUUGAUUAUUCAUCAAAUGGAUGUCAAAACAGCAUUCUUAAAUGGAGAAUUAGAUGAAGAAGUUUAUAUGGAACAGCCCGAGGGCUUUGUUGUUCCUGGACAAGAGCACAAAGUGUGUAAACUUAUCAAGUCGUUGUAUGGGCUUAAACAAGCACCUAAACAAUGGCAUCAAAAGUUUGAUCAGAUUGUUCUUUCCAAUGGUUAUAAAAUUAAUCAAUCUGAUAAAUGUGUUUAUAGUAAAUUUUCAAAUGGUAAAGGUGUUAUUAUAUGUCUAUAUGUUGAUGACAUGUUAAUUUUUGGCACCGAUGUUCAGCAAGUAGAAAAUACUAAAAAUUUUUUAUCUUGCAAUUUUGAUAUGAAAGAUAUGGGGGAGGCUGAUAUUAUUUUGGGAAUUAAAAUUAUUCGUGAAAAUAAUGGAUUAUUUUUAACACAGUCUCAUUAUAUCGAAAAGAUUCUUAGAAAAUUUGGUUAUUUUGAUUGUACUCCAGUAUCAACUCCUUUUGAUCCUAAUCUAAAACUAGUUCGUAAUACUGGUAGAUCAAUUAAUCAGUUAGAAUAUUCUAAGAUUAUUGGAAGUUUGAUGUAUGCCAUGUCUUGUACUAGGCCUGAUAUUGCAUUUGCUGUUGGUAAAUUAAGUAGAUUUACUAGCAAUCCAGGUAAUGUACAUUGGCAUGCUAUUUACAGAAUUUUGAAAUAUUUGAAAAAGACAAUGGACUAUGGAAUUUUCUAUAGUGGAUAUCCAACAGUAUUGGAAGGCUAUACAGAUGCCAGUUGGAUAACAGAUCAAGAAGAUCAUGCAUCCACAAGUGGGUGGAUAUUUAUAUUAGGUGGAGGUGCGAUUUCUUGGGGUUCUAAGAAACAGACAUGUAUAGCGGACUCUACCAUGGCAGCAGAAUUUAUAGCACUAGCGUCUACUAGUAAGGAGGUGGAAUGGAUAAGCAAUUUAUUAUAUGAAAUUCCAGUUUGGCCAAAACCAAUGCCGCCGGUAUCGCUACAUUGCGAUAGUGAAGCUACGCUCUCAAGAGCAUAUAGUCAAACAUACAAUGGGAAGUCAAGACAUAUUUGAUUAAGACAUAGCUAUGUAAAACUACUGAUAUCAGAUGGCAUAAUUACCAUUGAUUUUGUAAGAUCAGACCAAAAUCCGCAGCAACUUGUGCCCGCAAUUCUCUUACCUCACUAGGCCCAGCUGGCUCUGGCGCCGCCGGGGGUACGGCUGACUCGGGCACCCCUGGGGGUGGUGCCGGAACAGUCCUACGCACGUAGCGUCUUUUCGGUGCCAUUAGCUCCUGAAACGCAAACAAUCGGUUAAUNCAGUCCUACGCACGUAGCGUCUUUUCGGUGCCAUUAGCUCCUGAAACGCAAACAAUCGGUUAAUUACUUAACCCAACGACGUCUUCGCAAUUACGAAAUGAUACAACUUAACUAAACAAAUCAGAUGGAAGCUCAUAAGUGUACCCGUUCUUGACUCUCGGCAUUGUGUUGUCGGCCGCCAACACAAUCGCCUUAAGCCAAGGACUAGUAUCACUCAAUUGAUCUCUAGCAACUACUAGAGUAUCAACCCCACUUCGACCCAAUCGAUCAACUUCCGCCGCGUCAUAGGUUCACGUCGCACUCACGCACCUAUAACCUUAAUGCUCACCGUCCUAGGGUCUCCUAGGUCAGUCCUAGACUCUCUCUUUUGCUUGCUCUUACUCGCUCUGAUACCACAACUGUCACGCCCCCGCCCCGAGCCCGCUACCAAUUUGGUCCGGAUCGAGCGCGGCGAACGGACGCCGAACAGACAGAGUCUCCCCUGUCCGCCCAAGGCUCAAGCGACGAGAUCAUGUACACAAGUUCCCAGGAAAAACACUCGUUUACAUACAUGAUCAAACAAUGAUAGCGAGAGCACAAACAGUGCUAAACAAACGAGAGCAAGCAACACAUGUAAAGCAUACAAGUGAUAAAAGAGAGAUGUACUUAUCUAUUGAUUCAUUUAACUUUAUACAAUUAUUACAACUAGUACUCUUCCAAAACUAUACAAUAUAUACACAAUCCUCACAACCUCACCCUAUACAUCAUCUACGCUCAAACAUAAGUACAGGGUAGGGCUAAUGCAAAAAGGAGGAGAGCUAGCUAGAACAUGAACCACUAGGGCGCUACGCCCUUGCCGCGAUCCUCUCCCGGGACGCUCGAGCUCGGACCUGCAAUGUGGUGGAGUGAGAACUACGAAUAGUUCCCAGUGGGUUCGGCCGCCGAUACCGCCGAUCUCCCCACUAGGUCUUGAGCAGGCACAGAUAGAUAUGCAGAUAGAUAGAUAUAUAAAACUGAAAGCAGGGACUUCCAAGAGAAUUGAUAUUCAAGACAUCGAUGGGGAUGGGUCUCAAGCCCAUAUUACAAAGUAACCAAUGAUGGAAACUCGACUUAACACUUGAAACAUCAUCAAGUCUUAAGUUCAAUAAGCCAAAGUACAUCAUAUGGAGUGAUUGCAAGCACUAUAAUAUAAAAUUUUCAUCCCAAGUAAAGUGCUUGAUAUCCGUAUUGAAAAGGGAAGGUUGAACUAAUAAAGUUCUUAAUAGACCUACAGUAGUAUUUACUGAAGUAUUAAAUACGGGACACUUCUGGUAGAGUCUACCUAUAUGAAUGUGAAGUGUGGCCGCUUCUAGGAGUUAAGGGCUUGACUCAGUUAGCAUUCAUGAAACAGGAUGCGGACACAAGGCCAUAAAAGUGUCAGCAAUAAAAUAGAGCACUCGACUGAUUAUAAAUUUCUAUGUGUGAUAUGUUCGGUUAGUCGAAAAUAAUUGUUGGUUCAAAGCUUGUCUACCAUUCAAUUAUGACUAACUUUGAUGUGUUUUCACUAAGUGUAGGUUCAAGUUUUAAUACACCUACACCUAUGCAUACGGUUUUGUCAAGUUGUCAAGAAUUUCGAUUUUGAUUUUUGAUUUUGUUUUAUUUUGCAUUNUUGUCUACCAUUCAAUUAUGACUAACUUUGAUGUGUUUUCACUAAGUGUAGGUUCAAGUUUUAAUACACCUACACCUAUGCAUACGAUUUUGUCAAGUUGUCAAGAAUUUCGAUUUUGAUUUUUGAUUUUGUUUUAUUUUGCAUUUUGAUGUAUUUUUAUGUAUUUUAAAAAUUGGUGGGGAAUUGUAAGGAAAUUUUUAAAAUAAUAUAUUUUGUUUAUUGAUUUUUAGUGAAUGGAUGUGAUUCUUCGUGAAAGGAUGCAACCCAUAGUGAAUGGAUGCAACUCUUAAUGAAUGGAUGCAACCCUUAGUGAGUAGAUACAACUCUAAUCAAAGAGUGUGACUCUUAGAGUGAAAGGAUGUGAUUUUUAGUGAAAGGAUAUGAGAUGAAAAGACACAUCUUUAUAGUGUGUCUUUUCGUAUAUACGUCCGUUGGAAUUAAUUCUUAUAUUCAUUGAACUUGACUCAUAAAACGAAUUGGUAGUUAUGAUAAAAUAAAAAGUCACAAUUGAAGAGCCACUUCAUGAAACACCCGUUCAUGAAUAGUCACUUCAUGAAGCACCCGUUCGUGGUCUAUAUAAGUCCACAACGUUGGUUGCAGAAAGAAGAUAGAAAAACAGUUGAAGAGUUUAAGUCUCCAUUCACAAUAAUUAUAUUCUUGUUUUCUUAUUCUAUUUCUUUUGACAACUUAAUCAAAUGAGUGCUCAAAGGCUCGACUUCGUGUGUGCAAACGCAGUUGAGGUUUAUGCUUCAUUGUAUCCUGGGAGGCUGUUCGUUGACCCGGUACACACCAAAUUGUUAGAACGGUGGGGACGGAUUAAGCCUUAAGGAAAGUGGCAUUGCUACACGCUUUGAAGCCUUUUUCAUCUUUCUAUUUCAUACAUUUAUCACUAUCUGUUCACCUACCACCAUCAUCUCAACCCUAUAUCUCUUCAUCCAAUGAUUAAAAACUCAAAAGCAUCACUCCUUUGGUGCUUUUGAGAGUAUUCUAGCUCAACUAUAUAUACAGCAGGACUGCUGUGCUCUUAAGAGCACGGAGGCCUCCGUGCUCCUAAGCCGUUUUCGAUGAGGGAAUUUUCGAAUCGACGAUCGGCUCCGUUAGACUUGAUCUAGCGUAUUUGAAGUUUCUAGAAAAUAAUUUUUGUGAAUUUUUGAUAUCAUUUACCUAGUGAUCGAAAGGGUUCAAAAUCAAUAAUUUUUAAUGGUUGAUAUCUGCCAUUUUCAAGUUUAACAAUAUAAAAGUAUUCAAAUCAGAUGAAAUUUUGAUUAAAAUUUUUUAUACUAUCUACAACAAGAUCAAUAUUUCUGAUCGAAAAUUUUAGUGCUAUAUCACCACUUUUUAGGGGCCGUUUGGUUACAUGUAGUUGCAACUACACUGCAGUUGUAACUGCAUGUAAAUACAAAUUUCGUAUUUGGUUUGAUGUAUUUAACUCCAACUACUACAGUAGGAAGUGCAGGAGGAGGCCCAACUGCAGCAGUUCGAACUACGUCCAAAUUGGCCGCAAUUCCAACUACGUACAGCGGUUGGAGAGAGUAACUUUAAAUAAAAUGUAUACUUACCUCUUCAAUAUUUUUUAAACAAAAGUUAUUUUUCUUUUUUAUAUUGGAGGUAAUUUCACCAUCAUAUAUAUAAAAUAAUAAAAUUUUAAAAAUUAUUUCUCAACUGCAUACAACCAAACAAAUUAUUUAUACUUGCAGCGCUUUCUACUACAUCCAACCAAACAUAAUUCAUGUAGUUGUAAUUGUUGUAUUUCCAACUGCAUGUAUCUCUAACUACACUGCAUUUAUAAUUACAUCUAACCAAACGGCUUAUUAUAGAAUUUUUAUUUUCAGGCGUUAAAAAUUAUUGAUUUUGAAUCCUUUCGAUUACUAAGUAAAUGAUAUCGAAAAUCGCAAAAAUUAUUUUCUAAAAACUUCAAAUACGCUAGAUCAAGUCUAACGGAGCCGAUCGUCGAUUCGAAAAUUCCAUCAUCGAAAACGGCUCAAGAGCACGAAGGCUCCGUGCUCCUGAGAGCACAGCAGUCCUGCUCACUAUAUAUAUAUAUAUAUAUAUAUAUAUAUAAUAUACUAUAUGAGUAUAUUAUAGAUCUAGGAUACUUUACAAAGUAUCAUCCCCAUGUUGCUAUCCCGUUUUUAGGCCAUGGAUCUACUUUUGAUUACAAAUAGCCCUUGGAUCCAAACACUAUUUCACCUACACCACUACCACCACCUACCACCAUCAUCUCAACCUCACAUCUCUCCAUCCAAGGCUAAAAACACACAAGUACACUUGGUGUAUACUUGUAAAGUAAUUCUAGCCCUAACUCUAUAUAAUAUAUUAUAUUAUAUAUAUUAUAUAUAAUUAUAUAUAUAUAUAAUAUAAUAUAAUAUAUAUAUAUAUAUAUAUAUAUAUAUAUAUAUAUAUAUAUAUAUAUGAGCUCCUAUGCUUUUAAAAGUACCAAGUCAUUGUGUUUGUAAGUUUUCGGCCCUUGGAUUAAGGGAUGUGCGGUUAGGAUGAUGUGGCUCUCUAAGGUUGAGUAGUGUUGGUUGAAAUAGUAUAAUCCAACGAUAAAAAUGAUUAAAAGAGAGAUCUAACGUAAAAAAUUUACAAGGCAACCAAGUUUUUGUGCUUUUACAAGCACCAUAGCCGGACUAUAUAUAUAUAUAUAUAUAUAUAUAUAUAUAUAUAAUAUAUAUAUAUAUAUAUAAUAUAUAUAUAUAUAUAUAUAUAUAUAUAUAAUAUAUAUAUAUAAACUCAUUUAGAUGGUUGGAUAUAGCAUUUUUGUAUUUUUUAAUAGGAUUAAUUGAGCUCCCUAUAAAUAUAUUGAAUAGCAAAUAUAUUUCUAUAAGUUCAGUUUUUUAUUUUUAUUCAUGUAGAAGUCCAGUGAUAUUCAUAUUUGCCCCUUUGAUUUGGUACCGUUAGAGCACUGUUUAAUUUCUAACAACAGUUAAGUGAAAUGAUAUUUUUUUCUUAUCCCUCCAAAAGCCCCAACUGCUAUAUUUAUUCCUCUCAAAAAAGUAUUUUAUCUAAUAAUAUAAUAGGGGUAAAAAGAUCAGUUUAACUCAUUCAAUAAUGAGGGUUAAGUACUUUACUCGUGAUUAAUUAUAUUUUUCUAAUGGAUCUUAAUAGCAUGGAUAUAUUUGUUUUGUACGAAUAAAAAUAAAAAAUUGUGCUUUGUAUGGAUAUAUUUACUAUUCGAUAUGUUUGCAGGGAGUAGUUGUAUGCUAUUAACCCUUUUUAAUAUAUAUGCUCCUUAAAGAUAGGUUAUCCUACAGGUGGAGGGAUGAAUUUUAUAUCCAUCAAAACUAUGAUCUCUUUAGGCCCUUUUUGAUAACAGAAAAUAUUUAGAACGAAAUAUUUUAUUUUUCAAAUUUUACCAAAAAAAAGUUAAAAAUAGGGAUGCAAACGGGAAUCAGCUGGAUUGGUGGAGCUCCCACUUCGAUUUGCUCCAAAUAAGGCAGUAAACGGGAAAAAAAUAAACUGAUGCGAGAUAGGAAACAUGAUAAUUUUUAUGAUCGAGGCGGAUUCGGGCAGGAAACGAAAAAAAUUUUGAUCCGCUCCAAAUCCGCCACGAAUCCGCCCCGUCAUGAUCCGCUCAAAAUCCGCUGCGAAAACCGUUUAUAUUUUAAGAAAAUAUCCCUAAAAAUAAGAUAUUUACAAAAAAAUCACAAUACAAAUAAAUUGAUACUCUCAUUUCUCAUGUAUUUGAAACUUUUAAAUUUUGCUUCGAAUUGUAAUUGAUAUUUUUUAUUUUUAUAAUUGAUGUUGUUAAUUUUAUAUAUAACUCAGUAAUAUUAUUUAUUAUUAUUAAAAAAUUAUUAAUUUAUAUUUUACAAAAUAUAUUAUAAUUUUUUUAAAAAAAUAUUAAUUAAUAUGGCGAAUUCGGAGCGUCGGUGGAAGAUGGGUUAUGAAAUUUUGGUAGUCCGGUGUGGGAGGCGCGGUGGGUCUCCGGCCCCCAAAUCCACCCCACUUGUAUCUCUGGUUAAAAAUAACAUAAAUAAAUAAUUUCGGUCAAAGUGGGAAAUUCUAGUUUAUCAUGCCCCCACCUACCUCCUAUUCAUCGCCUCCCCCAAAAGCUUCGUCUCCCUUUCUCUCGCUCCACUUAACUCCAUUUUCUUACCUAAUCUUAACCUCCCUGAAAAACUUUAUCUACCUCUCCCUCUCUCAUCUUCAUGGACGGAGCUAUUAAUAGACCCAAAGGGGCCGUGGUUUCUCUCAACUUUUCAAUAUUUAGUUUAUAAUCUUUUGGUAGCUUAUAAAUUUUUAGUUAAUUUUUAAAAUAUAUGAACAUAUUUUGUAAAAAAUAUUUAGUACUUAGUAUAGGGCUCUCUUUUUUCUUAUGUGUUUUAUAGGUAAAAAUACGCUAAGAACCUCUUAAUUAUAGUGCAUUUUAUUAACAAAAAUUUAAAUUCUAACUAAAUUACUAUUAGAUUUAGUAAAAUUCUUAAGUUAUUUGAUUAGAAUAAUGUAAAUAAAAUAAUUAGAAUUUAAGCGAGUGUAAGUUAACGAAAUAAAUUUAAUACUUUUUAACAUUAAUUAUCUAAUCACUAAAUUUUUUUUAUUAAGAAUUUGAAUAAUUAAAAUCUUAUUUAUUGUUAAAAUUUUUAUUUGUAUAUAUUUUGGCCGCCCUCGUGAUUGAAUCCUCGCUUCGUCCCUGCUCGUCUUCACUUCGAACUCUCAAAUCCUACAUUUCUGGGUAGGAAGCCGGUGCUUUCUCUUUUAUUUUUACUCCAUUUCUUCUCUAGAAUUCAUCUUCAUUAUCUUCCCUCUUUACAAAUUUAUGUAAUAUUGCUUAUAUUACAAAUUUAAAUACAAUUUAUUCGAACAAAAUAUUUCAUAUAAGUUAUUAUCUAUGUUACGAACACAGGUUCAUAGUAUUAAAGGGCAAUAUUGGUAUUUAAAUUUGUAAUAUAAGCAAUAUUACAUAAAUUUGUAAAGAGGGAAGAUAAUGAAGAUGAAUUCUAGNNNNNNNNNNNNNNNNNNNNNNNNNNNNNNNNNNNNNNNNNNNNNNNNNNNNNNNNNNNNNNNNNNNNNNNNNNNNNNNNNNNNNNNNNNNNNNNNNNNNUCAAUUUAAGAUCGGAGUUAUUGAUCUUUAUCUAGGUAGUGAAUAGAAUUUUCUAUCAAAAAUUCAACCUUCUCGGAUUUUUUUGCACCAUUAAACUAGCAAGUGUUCCAUACCAGCCGUUAAAAAUUGUCAAUUUUGUGAGCUUUUGAUCGUAAAGUAAUGAUAUCGAAAAAUUAUAAAAUUUAAUUUUUAGAUAUUUUAAAUGCUCUGUGACACCCCAAUAGUCCCAUAUCGGAUGGGAAUGGGGUUGUCAUUGGGUUUAUAAGAGACUUAGACACUNUCAAAUUUAAUUAAUUUAUAUUAUAUAAUAAAAUUUAAGUCUAAAUAUAUUAUCAUAAAAAUAAUAUUUAUAUUAAUAUAUUUAUUUAUAUAUCUAUUUAUCUAAUAAAAUAAAGAUAAGAAUAAAGUUGUUCUCAGUUUUUCUAGGGACAAUUUUUAGCGGGUUGUUCCAGAACAAUCCAGAACAACCUGUUUUGACCAGAACAAUCCGUUUCCUCCUGUUCUUUUACCGCAUGGUUAUAAUUUAGGGAACAUCCUGUAUUGUUCCGAAAUAUCCUCGGUACCAACCGCAGCUGAGAGAACAAGGUUACCAUCCUAGAGAGGGGUACGUGGAGACGAAUUAGCGCUCUAUGGUUUCGAUCUCGUCCUUUUCCUCCUUAUCUAAAGCCAGAAGCUGGGAAAAAGAGGGAAAAAAAUAAAAAAUAAAAUAAAAUAAAAUCUCCCUUCGGAUUUACUCGGCCAUGUAUGAUUGGGCUGGGCCAGUAAUGAUGCCUUGGGCGAGCCGGUCCAAUUAAAGAAAAUGAUAGCUUGGGUCCGGGCCAGAACUUCCAGUGCCUUUGAUUUUAAGGCCCCGACAAACUCGGUGUACCGGAUUGGACGAGUCGCGUUGGUGGGUCACUGGGUCGAGCCAGAUUUGCUCGAGCCUAAAUUAUCUUGCAUGCGUGAUAGCUAGUGCACCAGCAAAUAUGUAAGUACUCCGAGCAGAAGAUUCCUCUGCAAAUGCCUCGCCCUCAACUCAUCCAAUCGGGGGGAGUCCGCGAAGGCAACGAAAAAUUGUCAGGUGAAAUUUUGUUGUUGCCCUUUAAUGUAAAAGACCCAAAACUCUCCUCAUGGAUCAGUAUCCUGUUUUCACUGGCCAGUAUUCAGAGCAGGAGCAUUAAAAAAAUGUAACCCCAAAUCCAACCUGCUGAAUCUAUUCCCGUACUUGUUACUUGGCCCAUGCCUCCGUAAAAUGGCAUAUUGUUUUGCAUAAAUAUCUUUUAGGCCCGUUUGAUUUAACGUGAAACUGUAAAAAGUAAUUUUUGGUUUUUUUUUUUUUUUUUAACGUUUUGUAGUGUUCGGUGUGUAGGAAAAAAAUAAUUUUUUAUCAAUAUUUGUGAAACAAUCGUUGUACUCUAAAAAUUUAAGUUGUUAGAGAACGGUAUUUAUAUAUUUUUCUAUAUUUAAUAUUUUUCUUAACAUUCCCUCUCACAUCUGGGCUCAAGAUUUUCCCCUCACAUCUGGACUCGAGAUUUUUGUAAUGCCCAUAGCGUGAACUUAAAUUAAAUGAAAGAAAAUUAAUAAUCUUAACACUCCCCUCACAUCUGGGCUGUGAGCUUGAAUUUUUUGCAAGGCGUAUAACGUCAAGCUUAAAUUAAAUGAGAAAAAAUUAAUAAUUUUAACACUCUCCCUCACAUCUUGGCUCGAAAUGACUUAAAUUAACUUAGAGAAAAUUAAUAAUGUUAGAAGUCUAGCAUGACUCGAAAUCAGAAUCUUCUGCUCUGAUAUUAUAUGAAACAAUCGUUAUACUCUAAAAGCUUAAAUUAUUAGAAAAUAAUAUAUAUAUAUAUAUUUUUUAUUUAACACUCCCCUUAAUAACAUUUAUUUGGUUAAAAGAAAAAAAAAUCCACACUUGCUUGGUUCGGUCGAAAAAAAAUGUUUGAAAAAAAUUUUACGCAGUUUAAAUUUUCGUUUUUCACCAAAAAAUAGCAAAAAAAAUAAAAAUUUCAAUUUUUUCUAUAUUCGUAAAAAUACAUGCAUGAAAAGAUAGUUUUACGUCAAGCCAAAUAAGCGGAAAAGUAUUUUUCAUACCAAAAAUAAAUUUUUGGUUCAUCUUAGGCGAACCAAACAUCCCCUUAGUGAAAAACAAUUUCACAUAUUUUUAGUGAAACAUAUCUUUGUGGUUUGUUUUAUAGAAAAAUAUUUUUUUUUUGAGAAAUAUUUUAUAGAAAAAUAUUAUCUGUACACCUCAAAAAGAGAAAGCAUAUUUACACACUAAAGUUUUGAAUUUAUAAAUUUUAAUUUUAAUAUUAUAGAAAAAUUGACAAGGCAUGCAUAGGAGUGAUAUAGAUCCUUAGACAAAGGAGCCUAAGAUUUACUCUUUUGUUUUUGGAUAUAUAAAUCUCACUGUUCUUUUCGAUACGAAUGCGCAACUUCUUUUUUUUUUUUUUUCACUCUUUCUUGAGGCCUUGGAUACUUUAUUCUUGUAGCUUAAUUCACUCUUUUUAUGAAUAAUUAAAGUGAGUAGCAGGCUAUCUUCUUUUUCAAAAAAAAAAAAUGUGCAACUUAAAGUGAAAACUUUUUCCCCUCACUUUCCGUCUCUCUCAACCUAUUUUCUUUUUCUGCAAACUGACCAAUUACAUGUCUCAAACUUUAUCUCGGCCAAAGCAACUAGAAAAAUAAAUGUAAUAUUUUUCAAUGAAAGAAUGAAUUUUCUCAUGGAAAGUGCUUUUAAUAGUUUUCUUUUAAAUCAAAAUAGCUAAUUAAUGAGUUAUACGGAGAUAUUAAAUGUGGAUCGGAUCACGAUCUGAGACUUGUCACUUGGGCAAGAACCAGUAUCUAAAUCUUUCAUAGACAACACCAAUGUUUUCUUUUUUGCCCUACUAGCUAGGUGUGGUUAUUGGAGUGAACCCAUUAACUAAUCGCCACAAAACACUACCUAGUUAAGAAUAGGUUGUUGUUACAUAUCCAAAACAAAAACUAAUCGUUUUUUAGUACAGGUCAGGCCAUUAAAAAAAGUGCUGUACUUAAACUACAAAAAAUAAAUGCCAAAUCAAGGAAAUGUGAAACAGGCCAGAUUUGAGCAGAACUAGAUCGAAGUAGAUCGAGAUUCUUCGCCUGGCCCUGAGUUACAAAUGGUAACUUAAAUGCCCAUGUGAUUGCUGCAACAUUGUCCCUGUCCCCAUUGUCAAUUCAAUCCGAGAAAUUACUGGCUCUGCCGCGCCAUAACUAAGUCCUAUAUAUAUACUGGAACACUUGUAUGUAUGAGUUUUACUACGUACGUACAGAGGUUCCAAAAAUCAUAAUAUAAUAUGUUCUUCAAUAUUUGAAGAGAUCUAGCUAUCUAUAGAUUGAGAGUCACAUAUUUUAGAUAUCGAAUUCUUAGCGAUCGAACAUUGAUUUUUGGGCUGCUCGAUACCUUUGGUAAUAGAAUUACUAAAAAUUUACAAGUUUUUAUAUACAUAUUCUUUGAUUAUUGCAUGUUGUACGUAUAUUAUAAAUGUAGAAUGAAUUAAGUUAGAAUAUUUUGGACAAUAAUAUUCACUGUAUACUUUUUAACAAUUAGAUAUCUAGUCUAGGAUUUAAUAUUGGUAGGUAGAAGUAGAACAACAUUAAUGUAGAAGGUUAAUUAGAAAGUUGAUUGAAAAAAAAAAAAAAAUUAUUUACUGUCAAUUAAUAGUGUUCUAGAUAAACUCAAUGUAUAUGGUGCAUGAGAUGUACGAAUGCACGUGGUGUAUGCAGUAAUUUCUGAUAAAAUUCGGCCCGAGUCCGCAUAGGCCGAGGUGGUUGGAUCCUCUUAAAUGCCACGUGUCUCCAGAGGAACCCCGACCAAAAAGAUCCCAAGAUUGAGCUGCACCCAAUGGGGACUCCAGUACAGGAUCUCAAAUAUGGUUUUUGGUGCGUGGUGAGUUAAAAAAAAUGGAGAAGCGCCUUGGCUCAAGAGGAGGGGUCGACGGAGACAGGGAUAAGGUGAGGAGGAACUUAAAUGAGCCAUUAAUGGCUCCCAAUCCCAUUUGCUAAAGCAUGGUGAGAAAUUUAAUGCCCUCCAUUAAUUUAUUUUUAUGGUACCUCUCAUUAGAAGUUUUAGGCUUUUAUCUCGUCGUGUUAUUUCCAUACUCUACUGAGUUUAGAGUUCUACAUUGCAUCCAUCCAAGAGUUAAUAUAGGUUUUUUUUUAAAUUUUACUGUUUAAAAAAUAGGAUUGUAAUAUGACUAACGAUCGAGCUGAUAACAUUAGGCGUCUUUCUUUUCCUUUUGAAAGAGAAAGAUAGCAUAACUCAAGUUUUUGGUGCGAUCGCUCGAGAUUUGAGACAGUUGAAUUUUACUAAAAUAGUUUCAUUAGCUCCGGUAAGUAUUAUAAAUAGUAGUAGAUAAGAUUAUGCUAUAGUAGGGUAUCUAAAAUAGACCAAAUUAGUAGAUUGUGUCUCACAUAUAUACUUUCUUAAAAAAAAAGGAAACAUACUGAUUAUAUCAAAAUUAGAAAGAAUCCAUAAUUUUAGUUCGCCAUGGGUAGGGACAUUAUUGCCGAUUUAAUAAUUUCUAGACGUUUUUUUUUUUUUCUUUUAAAAGAGAAAGAUAGCAUGUUAUCUCAAAUAAAUUUUGAACUCGAGUCUUCAAAUAUGAACUAUCAAAUUUUUAGUCAACGGUACUAGAUAAAUUGGGGUCUACUACUUUGAACACUCCAAAAUAAAUAUUGCGUUAGGAUUGAGCAACACGUGGCUUAGUGUGCUUAAAUAUUCGGGGCCCAGUGUUUUGGAUUUUACCGGACGUUCUAGUUGAAGUGCAUAUAUAUGUAACUCGGUCGAUCAGUGGGUCAAGGGGAGGAGUAAAUGCUCUAACAUUUGUGAUCCUCUCCCUCCUUGUGAAAGGGCUCCGAUUAAUGGAGAAUUAAACAUUGAUGGUUCCCUUUGGCCACACCCUCAACUAUCAACUAUAACUAGAAGUAUAGGUUUUGGGAAAUUGUGUUUCUUCCAGUUGUGCAUAAAUGAUGUACCAAAUCACUCGAUUUGGAUUAUAUGUAAGAUCCAUGUAUAUGCCACACUAAUAUUUUGGCAAUUUUGCGAUAAUUGUUAGAGCUGGUGGGAAGUAUGAACAUCUUAUUUAUCAUAUAUAACUCCUUAAAUUGUUCAUCUGUGAUAAUUAUUAGCUCAUGUUAAAAUCUCAAAGAUGAUUAUAAUAUUAAUUACAGACUCUUAAAUCGUAUUUUUGAAAUAUAGCAGAUCACCAAACAGAUGGUACAAACGAUUACAAUCUCAAAAUAAGCAUCAGAUGAAACUUCUGAGUGAUAAUCGCCAAAAAAAAAAAAAAAAAAAAAAAAUCUGUAUCAUAUGAAUGAUUAAGCUGUCAAAAUAACUGACAAAUACAACUUUUGAACUGUAAUUGUAAAAAAAAAAAGCCCUAUUGUAACGAUACGUGGUUCAAGAUGUGAUCAUUCAAAUUAAUUGGUCAUAACGAAAUAAUUAAUAAAUUCUCUUUGGAUAAAAAAAAAAUAAUUAAUUUAUAAAGGAGCGGAGGGAGUAAUAAAUGCAUUAAUGUUCAAGAUGGUGAGAAGGACGUACUUACUAAAAUUAAAUAAUUAUAAGGUACCUUUCAAUGUGAUGUGAUGUAGCAUGUAUAAAUACGAAACAUAGGCCUUGCCUGACCAUAUUCAAUUGCAUUAAAUUAACAUCACACUCGGCUACUUAAAUUGCAGUGCGGUUCGAAGAGCAAACCAAAGUUUGGCAUGCAGUCCUUAGACACGACAUUUAAAGCAGGAACCUGAAGAAAGUUUAUUAAAGGGAAAACUUUAAAAAAUUCCUCUGUGGUUUCGUAUUUUUUUAUUUUAAUAUUUCGUAGUUUAAAAUGUAUUAAAUUAGUAUCAUGUGGUUUUAUAUUUUCUCACUUUAGUAUUCUGUGAUUUAAAAUGUAUCAAGAUAGUAUUCUGUGGUUUUAUUUUUGUAUCAAGUUAGUACCUUGUGGUUUUAUUAUUGUAUCAAGUUAAUACCAUAUGAUUUUGUAAAUUACAGGGUACUAAAGUGAGAAAGUGCGAAACCACGGGAUACUAAAGUGAGAAAGUGUGAAAUCAUAGGAUACUAACUUGUUACACUUUAAACCACAUAAUACUAAAGUGAGAAAAGUGAAACCAUAAGGAGGGUAUUUGAAGUUUUCCCUUUAUUAAAUUAGUUUACAAUAAAAGCACAUCAUUUGGAGCGAUUAUAUAUAUAUAUAUAUAUAUAUAUAUAGUUGAGCUAUGAUACUUUUACAAGUAUCACCAUCAUGGUGCUAUUAGGUUUUAAGCCAUUGGAUCUACUUUUUGAUUAUUAAUAGUCCUUGGAUUAAACACUAUUCCACCUGCCACUAUCAUCUCAACCUCACAUCUCUCCAUCCAAGGGCUAAAAACACACAAGUAUCACCCCCAUGAUACUUUUACAAGUAUUCUAGCCCUACUAUAUAUAUAUAUAUAUAUAUAUAUGUAGAGUAGGGCUACUAUACUCUUAUGAGUAUAGAAGCCUUCGUACUCAUAAGUUGUUUUCGAUGAUGGAGCUUCCGAAUCGAUGAUCCACUCCGUUAAAUAUGAUCUAGAGUAUUUGAAACUUCUCGAAAAUAAAUUUUGUAAAUUUUUGAAAUCAUAAUAAAGUCCAUCAAGAAGACAUAAAAUAAACAGUCAAAAUCGAACGACGUCCUAAAAAUGGAUGAUCGGAUCCUUCAAUUUAAGAUCGGAGUUAUUGAUCUUUAUCUAGGUAGUGAAUAGAAUUUUCUAUCAAAAAUUCAACCUACUCGAAUUUUUUUGCACCAUUAAACUAGUAAGUAUUCCAUACCGGCUGUUAAAAAUUGUCAAUUUUGUGAGAUUUUGAUCGUAAGGUAAUGAUAUCGAAAAAUUAUAAAAUUUGAUUUUUAGAUGUUUUAAAUGCUCUAGAUAACGUUUAACGGUGUGGAUCGUCGAUUUGGAAGCUCUAUCAUCAAAAACAACUUAUGAGUACGAGAGUGAUCGUACUCAUAAUAGUAUAGUAGUUAGUUAAGACCGCUCGAUAUUUAUAUUCAUCACCACAUUCUUUUUCUCUUUUACAGCCGGAAAAUGGAAAGAUCAAUCUUUUUAAGUUCAACGGUGUAGAAGUAUCCAAAUUACAUGAAAGUUUAAUAGAAAAUUCUACUUAACAUCAAUAGCAAGAUCAAUACUUCUGAUUUGAAAUUUGAGUCCUUUAUCAUUAUUUUUUAUAAGAUUUUUAUUUUCAGCCGUUCAUUUUGAGACUACUCGUUCACUAGGCAAACGAAGUCAAAAAAUUAUGAAAUUUGGUUUCUAGAUAGUUCCAAUAGCGUAGAUCAUAUCUAAUGGAACUGAUCGCCGAAUCAAACGUCUCAUCAUCAAAAACAACUUACAAGUACGGAGGCCCCGGUACUUUCGAAAGCAUAGGAGCCUACAUAUAUAUAUAUAUAUAGUUGAGCUAGAAUACUCUCAAAAGCACUAUGGGGGUGGUGCUUUUGAGUUUUUAGCCAUUGGAUGGAGAGAUGUGAGGUUGAGAUGAUUGUGGUAGGUGGUGGUAGGUGGAAUAGUGUUUGAUCCAAGGGCCAUUAGUAAUCAAGAAGUAGAUCCAAUGGCUAAAACCUAAUAGCACCAUGGGGGUGAUACUUGUAAAAGUAUUCUAGCUCAAUUAUAUAUAUAUAUAUAUAUAUAUAUAUAUAUAUAUAUAUAUAUAUAUAUAUAUAUAUAUAUAAAUAUAUAUAUAUUUAUAGUCCGGUUACUAUCCUAUUAAUAGGAUUGAGCCAUUGUCCUAUCAAGUCGUUUGAUCGAUCGGAACUAUUCAAAUUGAUAAUCGACACCGUUGAAAUUGAUCUACACAAUUAAAAAUGUUUAGAAACCAAAUUUUUGUAAUAUUUAAAAAUCAUUAUCAAGUUCAUCUUAAGAGGCACUGACAAGUGAUCACUAGACAAAUGAUAUCGAAAAAUCGCAAAAUUUAUUUUCUUAGAUACUUCAAAUACUGUAGAUCAAGUAACGGAGCCGAUCGUCGAUUCGAAAGUCGAACGUCGAAACAAAGUGAAGCACGAGCCCCUCGUGCUUUCAUAAGCAUUUUAGCCGCACUAUAUAUAUAUAUAUAUAUUAUUAUAUAUUUAUAUAUAUAUAUAUAUAUAUAUAUAUAAUUAUAUAUUCUUUAUUCUGUUUGAGUUUUUUUUGCAUUUAGCCCCCUGGCAAAUUUUUAUUUUAAAAAUAGCCUUGUCAAAAUUUAAUUUGCAAAAAUGACCCUAGCCUACACGCAGGGUGCCACUGUCAGCGCCCCGCUGGCGGGGCGGUGCUGGAGGCGGUAGUUAAGUUAAACACGGUGAACCAUUCACUGUGUCUAAACACGGUGAAUGUUCACCGUGAUUUAGUACGGUAUUUUUGUUAUUGAAAGAGAAUAGGAAAUUUGUAUUCCCUCUUCUAUUUUUUCAAAAAUCCGAACCCGAAACCCGAAAAUCAAAUUAAAAUUCAAACCGGAUAAACCCGACGGAUUUAAAAAUUCAUACCCAUAUCCAUAUCCGACCAAAAAAAUUGAAACCGAACCUGAACUUCAGCGGAUUUUUAAAAAUCUAUACCGUUAGAAUGAAGAUCUAAGAAAUAAAAAUUAUUAAAUAUUUUAUAUAUUGUAUAAAUAAAUAAAAAUAAAUUAUAUAUAUAUAUAUAUAUAUAAAAUUUAUUCGGGUUUGGAUUCGGAUAAUAUUUUGGAUAUCCAUAUCUAUUGACAUCCCUACUUUCUAUUUCUUUUUUCAAUAUACAAAAAAAUACGUACUAAAUACGGUGAACCAUUCAUUGUGUUUGAACACGGUAAAUGGUUCACCGUGUUCAACUUAACAUACGGGCUCCGUUCCUGCCUGCGUGGCGCUGACGUAGUACCUGUGUGGCAGACUUAGGACCAUUUUUGCGAAUUAAAUUUUGACAGGAUUAAUUUUAAAAUAAAAAUUUAUCGGAAGGCUAAAUGCAAAAAAAAAAAAACCCUUCUGUUUGGCAUUUCCGUAUCGAUAAUUUGGGGAUUAGGCGUUUUCGGAUUUUACGGGAGCGGUGACAAAGAAGAUAAAAGCUGCCAUUCACAUGAUAGCAGUUACCAUGCACGGCGCACAUGAUGCGUCCUUGUUUUCUCGGCACAAGAGCUCGGAGCUCGCAUGUUCGUGGUGCACAGUAUACACACAUAUAAAGCACGUGACAACCCCUGCUACCGCAUCUCCCCGUCCGUGACCUCACCACUUCACCUCUAUUUUAUUAUUAUUUUUAUUACUGCUAGCGUACAAACUAAGAGGAACGACCGCGCAGCAGAAGCGAUGCGAAAGGAAAGAGAUUCGGAUCGAAUUUGUCCCGGGACUGGCGAUUACCGGCCCCUGAUUUACGCCGCACAAAACUACCGCCGCUUACAACGCCGUUUUAUAUGCUCUAUUGCUCUUUGUCCGUUGCACAUAAUGUCUACUCUAGCACGCACUCCCUCCGCAACACCGGAACAAAUUAAUUAAAUCUCCACCGUUUCGACCCGCAAGUUAAUUUGAAGCACCUACAUAUUCUAUCCUCCUUUGUUUUUUUUUUUGACAAUUUCUACUUGUACAUUUUAAAAGGGAAUAUAGAUCUUACAUUCUUCAGUGUGGAAUUAAUAGUGCUUGAAUGGAAUGGGUAUAAGAUAUACACCUAGUAUUUUUUUUUUUUUUUUUUGUGGCUAAUUUACCUAAAUGGCGUUUGCAUUUUAGACUAUAUAUGUCUUAAUUAACUUUCUGCAUUAAACAUUAUAUUAAUUUUCAUUCUGAUUUUUGUCAUUAUUUCAAAUAGUUUUAAAAGUUUAGAAUGAUUAUUACAUUUAUCUAGUAAAUAUUUAGUAAAAAUAAAUUUAUAGAUAAAAAAGAGAUUGUAGAGGCUAUAGUGACAUGUGUCAUCAUCUUAUAGCUGCAGCAGCCCUCUUUCAAUGUAUUGUUAAUUAAGAUUAAAAUAAAAUAGAUUUCCAAACUAAAAAUAUUUUGGGAGUUUGCCAAUAUUUUAAUGCCCUUUUGGUAUUAACUUUUUUUUUUUUUUUUUUUUUGAGAGAUAGGCAGCACGCUACCCGCUUCGUUUAUUUCAUUUAGAAAUAAAUUUAGCUGGAAAUAUGAAUCAACUAGAAUUCAAACUUGCGACCUCGGGUACCGAGCAACAAGCCUUUUGCCACUUGCUCUAGAAACGAUCGGUGUUAUUAACUAUUAAGGUAGUCUGAUGCUGCUAUAUCAAAAGUAUAUAGUUGGAAUUGUACACGAUAUGUUUUAUCAAUUUUCUAAAAGGAAUCACUAAAUGCAUAUUUUAGCUAACUCAUUCUUACAUGUACAACGUUAGAUUGUCACGGUAACAAAUAUAUUAAUAAUAUUUUUUUUUUUUUUUUUUUUUUUUUUGUUUUAUAGCAAUUAAGUUCACUAAAAGGAAUUAAAAACUAUUAUUGUUGCCUAGAGUCAAAUUGAUCUCAUGCAACAACACAUGCACCGACGUAAUCAAAUCCGAUUACCCGGAGUUAAUCUCGUGAACCCCAUCAUCCCCUCCCCAAACCACUCCCCUUUCUUUCCGUUGCUUCCAACGACCAACCACCACCCCAACCUCCACUCCUCUCCACUAUAAAUGUGUGCGCGCGAACACACACCCCUAACUCAAAUCCCACACAUAUACGCCUCUCGGGAUAAUGGAGAUGAUUAAGAUCACCAACUGCUUGUUGCUUGUUGCGUCCCUGCUCUUGAAGCUCCAUAGUUCUAAUGCUUCCUCGUCCUCUUUAGAUUACGCAGACGCCCUCGAGAAAUCGAUUCUUUUCUUCGAGGGCCAGCGGUCGGGCAAACUCCCCGCCGAUCAGCGAAUGACUUGGCGGGGCGACUCCGCGCUCUCCGACGGCUCCGCUAACCAUGUCUUUACUCUCCUCCAAUUAAUGCCAUUUUUCGCAUAUAAUUUUAUCUUAUUAAUAGUAGCAGCAGAUCACUGCAAUCCCUCCGCAAUAUAUAUACUAGUGCAGAUUAAGUAUGAAAAUUUUGGCUUGCAUUGUUAUAAAUGAAUUGUAGGUGGAUUUGGUGGGAGGAUAUUACGAUGCGGGGGACAACGUCAAGUUCGGCUUCCCGAUGGCCUUCACGACGACGAUGCUGGCGUGGAGUGUGAUCGAGUUCGGAGACAAGAUGCAGGGCCAGCUCGAUCACGCCAGAGCCGCCGUCCGGUGGGGCGCCGACUAUCUUCUAAAAGCCGCCACAGCAACUCCCAACACUCUAUAUGUUCAGGUCGCUAAACUUGUACAUCAUUAGACAUGACUUCUACACUGUAAACAAAAUUAUAUUUAAACUUUUUUUUUUUUUUUUUUAUAUUUAACUACACUUAAAAGUGUCUCAAUAUAAUCUUUCGUUAUUUUUUAAAGCGUCCAUCAAAAUAUCAACAAAUAAAGAAUCACUAUAUAUAUAUCAAUGUUUAUACUAAAUAUCGGUAAAAUAUAUUCUGACGUUUUAAAGUAUCAGUAUUUUUUGAAUAGAGGGUUCAUAUGACAACGUUUUUCGAAUCGUCAGUAUUUACUAUAUUAUAGAGACGCUUUCCUCAAGAGUCGUCUAAAAAGUGUUCUUAUAUUGAGUUUUACUUAUAGUGUAAUUACAUUACUCAUUUUCUGAUAGUUUGAAAACUAAUUGUAUGUUGUGAUCGAUUCUGGUAGAAUUAAAAAGUAGCGGAAACUUAUAAACUGGAUAAUCAAUAUAUCCAGAAAUUAAAAUCAGAUCAAAGGAUCGCUUGUUUAAUCCUAUGACUUGAAUAACUGGAUUAAAUCUCCAUCCGCUACCUCUUUUUCGGAACGCAAUUAAUUAGUAAUUGAUGAUUUCUUAAACUGUAGGUUGCUGACCCGAAUAAGGAUCACCAAUGCUGGGAGAGGCCGGAGGACAUGGACACGCCCCGCGGAGUCUACAAGGUGACGAGCCAAAACCCCGGGUCCGAUGUCGCGGGAGAGACGGCCGCGGCAUUGGCGGCGUCCUCUAUUGUGUUCAGAGAUUGCGAUCCAGCUUACUCUCGGAAACUACUACAAACAGCCAUGAAAGUAAAUCACAAUCUCCACUAUAUAUGUUAUAUAUAGUUUAGUUCAUCUUUUCAAUAAAUGAAACGAAUAAUAUGUUAUAUAUUAUCAUUUUUUUUUUAAAAUAAAUAAAUAGUGUCAAAUUUGCGGUUUCAGGUCUUUGAUUUCGCGGAUCGUUACCGGGGAGCGUACAGUGAUUCACUCAGCUCCGUCGUGUCUCCGUUCUACACCUCCUACUCCGGAUACCAAGUAAGUGAUGAUAUGAAAAAAUUCGGCUACAAUACUUUCAAAAAUAAUUUAUUUCUAUUUUUUCAAAAAAAAAUUAGUCAUUAUUUUGUGAUUAUAAGUGAGUAAUUUAUGAUUCUGCGGAAACAGGAUGAGCUGCUGUGGGGAGCUGCAUGGCUGCACUGGGCGUCAGAUGACAUCUCUUACAUGUCGUACAUUCAGUCCAACGGCAACACUUUGGGGGCACAAGACGAUGACUACUCCUUCAGCUGGGACGAUAAGCGCAUCGGUACUAAAGUUCUUCUCGCCAAGGUAUUCUUCCUCUCUGCUCAUUCAGAAAGUUAUUUGAUGAUUGAAAACAACAACAAAAGCGAAAGCAAAUUAAACCUUUUAUUCAAUAGAAUUACCGGACAUAAAUACAUUACUCUUCACGCUUUGCUUAAUUAGCUACAAUACUAUGUGUUGAAUUUUAACUUAUCUAAUUUAUUAACAUCACUUUAGUCGAAUGUUUCAUUAAAUAUUAAGUACUCUUUGGCGCAAUAAAACGGAUAUACGUCGACUGUGGAUAUAUAUGUGAAAGCUAUUAUAUAUUUUCCAUUUGCUUGACCACGUGUAAGAAGGUUAUUUUGACUUAAGUUUAUCUGGAUGUAUAAUAUUUUUUUUUAAAAAAAUUAACAUGUUUUGGCCAUUAAUUGUUACUAAAAUUGACAGUACUGUUUGUUAAAAGGUGGGUUAUAUUAUUAAUAGAAUUAACAGCUAAAUUUAACACAAAUUUUAAUUUAACUAACUAUGAUAAUUGAAAUCAAAAUAAUAAACCGAAAAUAAAGCUGGGACCCAUUUAUUUAUUUAUUUAUUUUAAUUUACAUUUCCACCAAGAGUUCAGCAAGACCAAUUGUUUUUCUUCUCCAAAUUUUGGACAGGGUUUCCUGCAGAACAGGAUUGACUCACUGCAACUAUACAAGGCCCACUCAGACAACUACAUUUGCUCUUUGGUCCCUGGAUCAAACCGUUUCCAAUCCCAAUACACCCCAGGUCAUUAAUUUUAGAGCGAUGCUAUCUGCACGCCUGUAAGUUUUACCGGUUAUAAAUCUAACACGCAACCCAUCUACUGAACACUAAUAUCAUUUCAUGACUUAUAUAGAAUUUUAUUUUUUAUACUGAAAAUUCAAAAGAGUUUUCUAGAUCCUAAGAUGGAUAGUUGUAAACUUUACAUCGUAUUCAUGGGGUGUAUGUAGAGAGCAUUUUCUUAAUUGUAUAUAUAUAUAUAUAUAUAUUUAGUCCAGAUACUGUAGGUCGAUAAUUUACUGUUCUCUGCAACACUUACUGAGCAGCAAAUUAAUAUAAACAGGGGGGCUUCUUUACAAAGAAAGUGACAGCAACCUGCAGUAUGUGACUUCCACUACUUUUCUCCUCCUCACCUACGCCAAGUACCUGCAGGGCUCAAAUGGAGGAUCAGCCUCCUGCGGGAGUAGUACAAUCACUGCUGGAGACCUCAUUUCACUGGCUAAAAAGCAGGUAGAGAAGAUCAAGAACUCGCUGUGUCGUUUGUCCAAAAAUGUGUUCUUCAAACACAACCGCUUUAAUAUCUUAGAAUCACUAAAGAUAUUUAAAAACACUUUAAAGCUCUGCUCGUCUGGUUCUACGGAACGACGGCAAGAAUCUCCGAUGGCCCAUGAAACGUUCGCAUGCACCAUCAUAAUUUAGAAUUGGUGGAGUAGAAUUCCAAAAUACAUCUAAAUUUUUUUGGAGACUUUGCGAAAGCAAUGAGCCCAUACGAAUGGGCUCGCAUUAGUGGGGCCUGUCUGACCCAAUGUCUAGAAUAACUUCUCGGCAAAAAUAUAUUAAAUUUAUCUGAACUAUGGAUCAUUUUGAAUCAACUAUUUGAUCUUUUAAAAUUUUGAUUUUGCUAUCCAAUCUUUUAAUUUGUUAGAUUUGAACUAGUUAAUAAUACUUUGACUUUAAAAUAUAAAUUAAUUAUUUAUUUUAAUAAAUUUAUACUUAUAAAAUAUACGAACUAAAUCUGUAAAUAAACUAUGUAUUAAAAUUGUAAAGUCAAAGUACAGUUGAUUGACUAAACUCAAAUAAAUUAAAAAAUGGGAUAGAAAAUUUGAAAGAUUGGAUAGCGAAUUCAAAAAAUGAACUUUUCAACUCCGAGAAAUCAGUGUGAUGUGUUUUAUUUCGUGAAAUAAAAGCUUACAGAGGUAUCUAAACUUUGUAGAGAAACUUGUGGCAACAGUUUCUUUGA